CCAUAAAAUUGCUAAGUCCAGAGAUAAUACAUAAACAUAGUAGACUGUUCAUGACACAUAUCACGGUGGACAGUGUUUGUGUCCUUAUUACAAGCAACGAGAGAUGCUCGUCACCAACACGCGCGCGCACAGAUGCACGACAUACAUAUAGUAGAGACCAACAGAUGGUCGUCCCAUAUGGUGAACAAUUUAUUGGAGAUAAAUAUUAACGUAACUUGGCCAUAGCUUGAAGCAUAGCAACAUAUGCCUAUGAGUGGCAUUCAUGCUAUCGUUUUAGGCUUGUCCAGCUCCUUCCAUCUUAGCAAGCACUUCCAUUUCUACCAUCUUAGCAGCAACUGUCAAAUUGAGAUACGGAAAUCCCAUUAGCGCAUGAGUUAAUUUUGCAGUGGAAAUAGAGUACAAGAUGUCUUCAUGAUGUAAGUAAUAUGCCUGAAGUUGUGAGAUGGGAAGUGAAGUCAACAAAUUACAUUAACGGAAAUGCAUGGAAGGCCACACAUACGUAUUAGUCCAUGAUAUGCUACAAAGCUUGUAUGUACAUAUAGCAAAUUAAAUGCAUUAAUUGAAUAGAGUGUGUUUAGUGAAUUUACCAGAAUCGUCCAGAAAACAUGGGAAACAGCAAGUGUUCUUGCAGACUGCGUCGGAGGCACCCGCACGAAUACAAAGCUGACAACAUAGUUUUGCCUGGGCGGAUGCGCAGCAGCCGCACUCCGCCGCGGUGGGGUUAACAUUGAGGCUCAAGAUGACCAGGCACAUGAUCACCAUCAAAGUGGUAGUCCUCUUUCCCUCCAUUGCCUCCUCUUAGCUUGCUGCUACCUUCCUUGGUUACCUAGCUAAGUUUAUUGGUUUUGUGUUGAGAGGUGUGAUUCUUGAAUGGACGUUGCCGGCGGCAAUUUAUAGGCAGCUGAGCUAUGUGAUGAUAUGGACUAGGUGCAAAUGGGUGGUUAAUGGCAAGGAAAGGGGCGUCAGACAAAGCCCAAUGGCAACUGCUGACAUGCGAUUAAAUUCAGAUCCACAUCCGGCCAUUCAAUAAUACGGUUGGAGUUGUGGCACAGAUAUAUUAUUGCAUGAUCAUCAAGAUAAGAUCGUACAGUGACUGAGUGAGACAAUAAAUAGCCAAGUAAACUAUUUUAUCCUGCUGCAAGCUGCAUUCAUAAGUUUAUUUCACCUUUGAUCACAAUACUCUUCACACACGUACGUCUCAGGGAGAUCUCACUUCCGCUGGACUGCUCACUUCCGCUGUCGUCGGUACUGCCAAAGACAUAAGCUCACAUCUGCUAUUGCGGAGCAGGCCAAUUUGCUGCGGAACUUCGGCGACGACCUGAAGGACAUGAACUCGGUGCUGGAGUCCAUCUCAGCAGCGCUCUAGGACGCUGACACCGGUAGAAAAACGACCUUCCAUCGUCAACAAAAAUCCCGGUAGCUUUUUUACUCGGUACUAAAGAGGUUUUAAUCUCGUGCAAACACCUUUAGUCCGGAUUGCUGUUACCACGCAACCCGAACUAAAGCGUCCCCCACGAGUUACUAUAUAAGGAUUGCAUCCUUUACUCAGUCAGAUAUAAUGUGUAGGUGAGAUGGUAAGGAAGCUAUACGUGAGGCUUCAGGUUGUGGGUUCGAAUCCAAGGAGAAGUGGGUGCAGCUGUGGCUUAAGCGGCUGAGGCACGCCGCCAUAGACAUCUCAGAUUUGCUCGAAGACUACCAAGACACUAGUGAACCCUUAACAGUAAAGGUGAGUACUUAUGAAUGUCAGCAUCCAUGUUGUCCAUGCUUCCAAUGUAAUAACAAGAUGGACUACUCUUCCUAGCGGACUCUUCACAACCACUCGUAAAGCUAUACGUUUCUCAAUGCAAUUUCGUAGAAGCCAAUCGAUCCAACCAAGUGACUAAAUCAUUCAUCCUUUCCAAUGAUGUGCAUCAGGUUUUCUACAUGAAGGGCAUCUCUAGCAAACCCAAGAUUUCAGAAGAAAAAGAAAAAUCAUUGGAGCCAAAGAGCCACAUAGUUCUUCCAGGAAAAAAAAAUCAUGGGAGUCGAGAACAAAUCAAACCAAUCAGAGGAUUAUGGUCAGCUUAAUGGCAUGCCUCCAUUCGAUGUCGAAGUUCACCCAAGCAUCAUGUUAGCCAAACAUCAAAUGUUCGUGCGUUGUUACGGUAAAGAUCAAUUGUGUUUUUUAAACUCAUGGAAUUUUUUUUCUAAGUUUUUAUUACACUUAUUGGAUGUCUACACAUUUGCUAGAAAACCAAAAUAAUUUGGACUUAAUUAUUUCUUUCAACUGAAGUACUCACUAAAUUUCUACCUUUUUAUUUAAGCAAGAGAGUUGCUAAAAAAAAUGGAUACAUAACCAUGUUGUAUCGUACAAAGCAACCACAUUUCACAUAUAGUCCGGCUUACCAAACACCAUUUUUUACUGAACAUAGCGUACAUGAGUUAAGAGACAUGGAUUUAUUUCUAUUGCAAGUAGCAUAGCGUACAACCUGCCUGCACCGAUGCAGCUCAAUAUGCGAUAAUUUUUAUCUUCCCAUGUAAUUUUUCUACUCUAGUACAUAUUGAACUCCACAUUAAUGUCAUGUUCUUUGGCGCCCCAGACGGUUCCUAAAGUUUGGAAACAAAAUAGAUAGCCAGAAAUUUUUUUAAAAAAUAUUUAUAUGGAUAUUUGUAUGUUCUUUGCAAACUAACAAUAUUGUUUACCAAUAUCAAAAGGAAUAUGGCUAGGAGCCAUUGCCGCAUAUGGCAGGUGAUGGUAGAUGGCGUAUGGGAUUUCGUUAAUUUAAUGGUAUAAUAAGCUGAAAUACAUUUUCUAUUUGCAAAUGAAUCAUAGCUGAAAGUGGUGAGAUUGUUUUUUCGCCGGUUUAGCAUCCUGUGCACCGGUUCAACUGGAGGGAAGCGGUUCACCGAGACGGAUGACAAUUUUACGGCAGAAUCAUUACUUGUUUUAUUAUUAGGUGAAGAUUUUAGCUUUUAGGUAUCUCACAUUAACAAUCUGUUUCUAGUGUAUAAUGUAGGAGACCCGUAAAGAGUCUACACACACAUAUAUAUGUUGACUAUGAAUGUAAGUUUGUUGGUUUUAUGUAUGUUCAUUUGGAGUUUAUAUAAAUUUUACAUUUUAUAGUUUUGUGUAUAUGACGAAGAUCCAUGACUUGCAUUAAUUUAACCUUUCUUCCAACAACUCUUAUGCAUGCUGUUUCUAGGGGAGCGCACUGGUUGCAAUUUUGGUCCCCGAUAUAGCAUGAGGACUUAAGGGAGACGGGCACGUCGUAACCUUAGAUAUUUUUGCAAGAAGCAAAUUAUACUUUGCUUUUGAUUUUCUCCAUGCCAUUUGCUGACUCUUAUCCCUUUUAUUUAUCAUUAUAAGAUGAAAAUAUUGUAAAAACUUGGUUACGUGCGGUCGCAGAAGCUAGAGACUAUUUCUUUUUUUAAAAAUACGCAAGAGGGAGAAACUUGGUAACAGCUAGACAGUGAAGAUCGCAUUUCAUAAGAAAGAUGGUGCACGUUCUUGUUUGGCUGUUAACGAAAUGACUUCGUUUCACCACACCACCAGAGAGCCCCAUUGCACUUGCAGCAAAAGCGUGGAGCCGCUUUCAACCAGCGUGCAAUAAUGCAGUCCCGCGUGUCUUGGUCUUACAGGAUAUUUGGUUCUUUAGUCCGGACUAAAAUUCAUGUCGCAUAGAAUAUUCAGAUGUUAAAUAGGAGGACUAAACAUGAGCUAAUUAUAAAAAUAAUUACACAAAUGGAGGCUAAUUCCCAAGACAAAUCUAUUAAGUCUAAUUAAUCCAUCAUUAGCACAUGUUUACCGUAGCACCGUAUUGUCAAAUCAUGGACUAAUUAGGCUUAAUAAAUUCGUCUCGCAAGUUAGUCUCCAUCUAUACAAUUUGUUUUAUAAUUAGUCAAUGUUUAAUACUCUAUCUAAACAUUCAAUGUGACUGAAAUUUUAGGAGGUCCUAAAGAACCAAACACCCCUUAGUCUCCGCCUGAACUAUAGCAGGUGCUGGCAGCGGUAGCAGGGUCGUCCAUUAUAUCUAUGGAUGGAAAUGAUCUGAUUCGGAUGGAAUCGAAUUCGAAUAGCACUUUUUACCACAUACUAAUCUGAAUUGGAUGUUCUCGAAUGUGAAUGCAAAACGGAUAGUUCAAAUUUGAAUACUUUGCGGAUUUUUGCAUAAUAUUAAUCGAAGAGAAUUUGUUAAAUUUAGCCGAGACAUAAAUUUUUCUAAAUUCAAAUACUUUGCAGAUUUUCGAAUGCAAAUUUUUUCAUACGAUCUCGGUUGAAUACAAACUUUAUAUCAAAGUUGUAUAUUUAGAUUAUAUAUAAAACUUUGUAGUUGACCUCCUUUUCAUUUAAAAUUUUUUAAUAGCUCAAAACAUUAUUCUAAGCUUUCUAAUUUCAAAAUCUUGAAUUUUAAAUUUUUCAAACGACCUCGGAUGCAAACAAGCUCUAUAUCAAAGUGCUUAAUGAGAUAUAAAAUUUUGUAGUUGACAAGUUUUUUAGUUGAAAACAUUUAGUUAUCACAAACAUACAAGUUCUUCAUUUGAUGUCGAGGAUUGGAAGUGUUGAGUUUGAAGAAUAUAUUCUUUGAUUACAAACUUUUCCAUAUGAUCUUGGAUGAAUACGAACUUUAUUUCAAAGUUGCAAAUUUAGAUUAGACCAAAAACAGUAUAGUUUACAAUUUUUUCAUUCAAAAUUAUUUAGUAGCUCAAAAUGUUAUUCUAAACUCUCUAAUUUUGAAAUCUUGAAUUUUAAAAUUUUCAAAUGACCUCGGAUGCAAACAAGCUCUAUAUCGAAGUGGUAGUUCUUAAUGAGAUAUAAAAUUUUGUAGUUCCAUCUGAGAUCAUUUAACAGUCACAAAUAUACAAGUUUUUCAUAUGAUGCUAAGGAUCAGAAAGAUUAAGUUUGAAGGCUGUAUUUUUUUAAUACAAAUUUUUGCAUACGAUCUCGGAUGAAUACAAACUUUAUAUCAAAAUUGUAGAGCUCGAUGAGAAUUUAAACUUUGUAGUUGAUAUAUUUUUCAUUCGAGAAUGUUUAGUGGUCCAAACAUGUAUUAUAAGUUCAGAGAAGAAACACACAAUCGGCCACGUCAUCAAUUGACAACUUCCAAACUGAGCAUUCCUAUUGGUUCACACCUUUCCCUUUCAACUCGUCAAGCUUAUCUCCUCCCACUCCUCCAUCGUUCACUCCCCCUUCCCCUUCCUCUCUCCCUCCCUCCCUCCGCUCCAGCAGUGGCAGCCCGACCUGCCUCCUAGGACGGUGGUGUGCGGGGCUCGGGCAUCCCUGGCCUCUAGUGGCGUGGCAGGGCGGCCUCCAGCAGCGAUGGCGGAACUCGGCCUCCGGUGGCGCACAGGCAGCGCAGCCUACCUGGUCAAAGGCGGCGCAACAGGGCGACCUCCCCAGCCUCCGGCGGCGCGCAGGGCAUCCAUGACCUCCCCGGCCUCCCUUGCCAGAGGUGGUGCGCGGGGCUGCGCCGACCUCCCCAACCAGAGGUGGCAAGGCCCCAGCUUACGGCGGCGCGUGGCUCCCCAGCUAGGGUGUGGUGGGGCGGCGGCAAGUCAGGCGUGGCCGCGUGGGGGUGGGGGGAGGGGGUUGGGCUGGGCGGAUUCAGAUAGUAUCCAUUUAACCAUCCGAAAUGUGGAUAUCCGUUUAACAAUCCGUUUAGCAAAACCGAAUUUGGAUACUUCCACUUAAGUAUCCAACUAGGAUUCGAAUGCGGAUGGUCCUACCAUAUUGUUAUUUCAGCGGAUACGAAUAUGGGAUAAUUCGAAUAACGACUUACCCAUCCCUGAUUAUAUCCGUGUAAAUAAAUAAUUGCGGCAGCAGGUUCCCGUCGCCACGCCCCCGUCAAACCAAACAAUUGCUUGCGCGACACCGUGUUACUAGAUCUUGUACAGUACUCCCUCCGUUGCAGUACUCCCUAAUGAAAGUUGAGAAUCGAUCGACAACCACGGCUAGUUGCUAUGCACUCGAUCAGAUGGUCCAGGCGCCCGCUGGUAAUCAGGUCGUGGUUCACGCGCAUCAGGCCAGCUAUGACGUUGCCAGCAGUGCUCAGUACACAAAUCUAGCUAUCAGUCGGAUCCAAUUGGGCAGGCAUUUGCACUGUGGUUGUGUUUGAACCUGUAGAUGUCGUUGUCAUUAUCAGGCACCAUACAUCCUCUCUCAGAGGGUGUUUCACCCCCUAAACUUUAGCCCCUCUCACAUCGAAUGUUUUAGAUACUAAUUAGGAAUAUUAAACAUAGAAAAUUUACUAAACCCAUUACAUGGAUGGAGGGUAAACGGCGAGACAAAUCUAUUAAAUCUAAUUAGUCCAUGAUUUGACAAUGUGCUGCUAUAGUAACUAUUUGCUAAUGAUGGAUUAAUUAGACUUAAUAGAUUUUUCUUGCUGUUUAGCCUCCGUCUGUGCAAUUAGUUUUAUAAUUAAUUCAUAUUUAGUCCUCCUAAUUAGUCUCCGAAUAUUUGAUGUGACACGGACUAAACUUUAGAUAGCACACCAGGGACCGACACCAUGCAUGCUGAUUUCAUAUCAUAAUUAAGGAAAGUGAUAUCAUAAUUAAGGAAAGUGGUAGCAUCCAAGAAAUCGAUCAUGUUUCUUCCCCCUUUGGCUUUCCUACUAGGAUUUGGAUAGCGGGCCUUCCUACUAGGAUUUGGAAUCCGCUAUCGCAUGACUAUCUUAAUUAUGUCCCAUAGUCCAAAACUCACAAAACAUCAAAAAUCCAUCGAGAAUAAAUUAAGUAAAAAACAUGCGCACACAGAUAAUAAUAAUAAUAAUCAUGUUUCAAUAAAAUUGCUAAGAUUAGAGAUAGUACAUAAACAUAUUAGAUUGUUCGUGACACAUAUCAUGGUGGAUAGUGUCUGUGUCCUUAUUACAAGCAGCGAUAGAUGCUUGUCACCACACACACGCACGCACAGAUGCACGACAUACAUAUAGUUGAGACCAACGGAUGGACGUCCCAUAGGGUGAAUAAUUUAUUGGAGAUAAAUAUUAACAUAACUUGGCCAUAGCUUGAAGCAUAGCAACAUAUGCUUAUGAAUGGCAUUCAUGCGGGUAGCAAUGCUAUCAUAUGCUUUUAGGCUUGUCCUUAGCUUCUUCCAUCUUAUAGCAAACACUGCCAUUUCUUCCAUCUUAGCAGCAACUGUCAAAUUAAUUGAGAUAUGGAAAUCCCAUUAGCGCAUGAGUUAAUUUUGCAGUGGAAAUAGAGUAGAAGAUGUCUUCAUAAUGUAAGUAAUAUGACUCUGACAUAGGGAGUGAAGUCAACAAAUUACAUUAACGGAAAUGCAUGGAAGGCCACGCAUAUGUAUUAGUCCGAUAUGCUACAAAGCUUGUAUGUACAUAUAAUAAAUUAAAUGCAUUGAAUAGAGUGAUUUUAGUGAAUUUACCUAAAUCGGAUUAAAAAACAUGGGAAACAACAAGUGUUCUUGUAGGGCUUUGUUUAGUUCCCAAAUUGGGAGUAGCAAAGUUUGCAUUUUACCAUAAAUGCGCAACUAUAGCAUGUAGCAUUUUGUUUGUAUUUGUGAAUUAUUAUCCAAACAUUGACUAAUUAGGCUCAAAAGAUUCAUCUCGCAAAGUACAACAAAACUGUGCAAUUAGUUUUUGAUUUCGUCUACAUUUAGUACUCCGUGCAUGUACCGCAAGUUUGAUGUGAUGGGGAAUCUUGCUUUUCAAUAGUGACAAAGUUGGGAUUUCGGGGGGAAGGCCUGUGUCGGAGCCACAUGCAAGAAUGGCUGACAUUGAGGCUCAGACAAAGCCCAAUGGCAACUGCUGACAUGCGAUUAAAUUUAGAUAUCCACAUCCAGCCAUUCACAUUUAUGAGAUAUGGACACGGUGCAAAUGGGUGGGGUCCUGAUAUGGAGGUGCGAAUGGCUGUCUACUUGUAUAGUGUAGCUCCAAUGUACGUAUAUGUAUCUUAUGCAUGUAUACAGUUGCACAAACUCUGAACCAACUCUUCAUAACAGGUCUUUGUUACCAAGUAACUUUACUUUUGCACGUUUCAGCCGAGAGGUAGAAGAGAAUAUUUUUGCAUUUUCCAUGUGCGUCAGUGGUAGAGAACUAGGAAUUAGUUCCGGAUGGUAGGGCACAAAUCUUCCAAACAACUAUCCGAAAUUAAGCAAUCGAGAUAAAGGGUGCCAUCUAUUCUCUCCGAAAAACACAGGUACCAAAAAGAAGAAGAGAAGAGGGAGGGCCUCCCGUUAAGGCCCGCUCGGGGUCUCCAUCCCACCACGCGCCCUCCCAACCCAAAGCCCAUCGUUUUCCCUCCGUCCCUCCCCUCUCCAUUGCCGCCGCCGCUCCCCUCAUCCGAGCUCGAUACGGGUGGUCGGCGGCCCCUCCUCUCCGCUCCCGCCCCCGGCCUCCCUUUGACCGCCGGGCGCCGGCAUCACUGCCGCGGCCAACCCCAGGGCGCAGCGCGUGCCUCUAUUUCUCUCCCCCGUUCAAGGGCCCUUUGAUGGCGACGAGCACCCACCCACCAGGUAUGCCCUCCCCUUCUCUUCCUAACCCUAAUAUAUUCGGAUCUCACCCAGUCACAAUAUAUUACCUAAUAGCUUCGAUUUUGUUUGCAAAAAUCAUCACGUGCGCACCCAUGUCCGCUAGAUUCUUGCGCCUGAUCCUGUGCUGCUAUGGUUUGGGCGGGGUAGACUAGUUGAUUCGUGCACUUUUGGGUGCUUGUAGUGCUAGGUUUUGGAGGGGGAUAGCCCAGUUGAUUCCUCCGUUUUGGGUGCUCAUGGUGAUAGGAUUUGGAUGGGGAUAGCCCCAAUGAUUCGUGCGCCUUUGGGUGCUGGGGAUAGUUUUGGGUGCCUGGAUAGUCCAGUUUCAAUGUCAGUAUAUGCGUAUUUUGGGGAGAAUUUUGUUUUGGGUGGUUCUGGUGCUAGAGUUUCUGAUGCUUAGUAGCCCAGUUUCAAUCAAAUUCCCCCAUGGGUCGUGCACUACGGGAAACAAGAAAAUUGCCGAGUGUAUUUUUUUUGUCGAGUGUUUUUUUUCGAGCACUCAGCAAACAAGCUCUUCGCCGAGUGCCAAGUCAAAAACACUCGGCAAAAAAAAACACUCGGCAAAUCGGGGCUUUGCCGAGUGUCAAAUAAAAAACACUCGGCAAAGAAGGGGGUUUGCCGAGUGUUAAAAAAAACACUCGGCAAACAGGAGGGUUUGCCUAGUGUUUUUUUGACACUCGGCAAAAAAAUAAUUGUUUUUCCUCUUUUCACCUUGAAAUUUUUUCUACUCCCCACAUACAACACGUGGUACUCCAUGUUAAAAUUUGGUAUAUUUUUGGAUUUAUUUGCUAUAUUUAUUUAAUUAAUUGCAUUACAAGGAAAUUUUUGGUAUAAGUCAAAUUUGAACUGCAAGUGAUUCAAAUUGUGGAACAAAAUGAGUAGAAAAAUGAUAUUCAUGUUAUUUGGCUCAAUUUGAGACCUGACCCAUGAAAUGAAAAGAAAUUUCGAACAUCUUGUUCAGGAAACACGACAAUGAACAUGUGGCGGUAGUAUUUUUAAAUUGUAAAAAAAACAAGCAAAGUCUGAAAAUCAUGAGAUUUGUAGUUAUGUGAUGAUAUAAUACGUGGAAGCUGUGGAAAAAAAUUGGAAAGGUUUUGCACAUUUCAUCAUGUACGAUGAUUACAAACCGAAGCAUAUCAGAAGAAGAAUAGUAACUUUGAGAAGGAUUCGAUAAAAUUUAGAGUCGAAGUGACGGUCGAGUUCGGUUUGACUACAAAACUUUUUGUAUAGUCAGUAGAGAACAUAUCUUAUUUCGUGUGAAAAUUUGGUAUUUUUUGAAACUGUUGGAUAUUUUUAAUUUUUUUUUAAAAAAACUUUGCCGAGUGUCCUAGGGUAGACACUCGGCAAAGAAAAACUUUACCGAGUGCCCGCCUAGGACACUCAGCGAACCUUUUUUUAAACCUACCGGCUCCGGCCGGCCCAGCCCACAAACACCACCCGCCCCCCGCCCCCGCGCCUUCUUCCUCACGCCGCCCCCGCCCCCCACCCGUGCCUCCGGACCGCCCCCUCCUCCCCCUGGCCUCCCCUCACGCCGCCCCCCUCCUCCCCUAGCUCCCUCCACCGGCGGCCCUCCCUCCCCCGGCGCACAUCCUCCACUCCUCCUCCCCUUCCCUUCCCUCCCCUCCCCUCCCCUCUUCCUCCCCUGGCCGGAUCUGGCGCCCCUAGCUCCCCUUUCUUCCGCGGCCAGAUCUGGCGCCCUCCCGGCGGCGGGUCGUGGCGAUCGGGGCGGCGGCGGCGGAUCAGGCCGCGGGGCGGCGGCGGCGGCGGGUCGUGGCUACCGGGGCGGCGCCCUGCCCCUCCCCUCCCUCUCCAUCUCCGGCUGCCGUCCACCCCCUCCCCGGAUCCGCCCCCCUCCCCUCCGCGCGGCCAGCCCCUCCUCCCUCUCCGGCCGCCGCCCCGGCCCCUCCUCUCCCUUUCUCCGGCCACCGCCCCGCCCAUCUUCUCUGGAUCCGGCCGGAUCCGGCCGCCGCACAGCCCCUCCUCCCCGGAUCCGGUGGGCGCGGACUUCGUGGUGGUGGCGCCGGAUCCCUCCCCUCCCUCUCCAGAUAACUCCCUCCACUCCUCCGCUCUUCCCCUCUCUCGCGCGGCGGCCUCUCUCCGGCCGCCGCCCCGCCCCUCUCCCCGGAUCCGGGGGGGGGGGGACUCCGCCCCUCUGCCCCGGAUCCAGCUCCCCGACCCGCGAGUGGGGCGAGCUUGCUCAUGCGGUCGACGUCGAGGCCAGGGUGUGGUGGAGGUGGUGGCCGGCGGGUGUGGUGGUGGUGGCGGCGGCGGGCAUGGCGGCGCGGAGGCAAGGCACGGCGGCCGGUGGGAGGCACGGGUGCAAGGCGUCGACGGCAGGAGGCAAGGCACGGCAGCAUGGGAGGUGGUGCUGUGGUGGUGGUGCUGGCGGUGGUGGCGGCGGCGGAGCAGGAUGUGGUGGUGGCGGAGGAUGUUUUUUUUUCAAAAAUUUGUUGCCGAGUGUUUUCUCGGCACUCGGCAAAGACUUUACCGAGUGCCCGACACAAAACACUCGGCAACUCAGUGUUUGCCGACUGAAAAAUUGCCGUGUGCCGUUUGCCGAGUGUUACACUCGGCAAACGGUUCGCCGAGGGUUUUUUGCCCUUCGCCGAGUGCCCCUAGCACUCGGCAAUUUCACUAUCUCCCGUAGUGGUGGCUGGACUUAUGGGGGGAUCAUUGAUGGGGGACUAGUUGGAUACUUUUUGGCUGUUUUGGGAGUCCUUGGCAGCGGCUUCUCAGGGCGUACGUAGCCCAUUGUAGAUUCCAGCCGAGAAGAUUAAGGAAUUGUGACUGCAACCAUGUUACUUUUCUAGGACUCUGUUUCUGAUAUUGUUCCCGCUGCAUCUUUUCAUCCCCAUGGUGAAUGUUGCUGUUGAUCUGUAGAUUGGAUUUGUUCCUCGGUAGCUUUAUUAGAUUUGUGCUGAAUGAUAAUCUCUGCCUGUGAUAUUUUUCUUCAUUGCGGAUGUGUGCCGAGUAUUAUCCCCUUUGUUCAUUCUGUUGGCUUUUUUUAUUGUCUCUGUACUCGGCUGUUCAGCUUGUGCAGCUAAUGAUCUAAUGUAUUUUGUCGUAACUAUGUAUUUUUCGGAUGUGUGCCGAGUAUUAUCCCCUUUGUUUAUUCUGUUGGCUUGCUUUCAUUGAUCUUAAGAUAACUGGUGCUAUAAAUUCACACUAGCUGAUGCACUUGCAAAUAGCUAUGUAAAUAUGAAAAGAAGUAUUUUUUUAUCCUUUUGUUUGUUUGGCAUCAUAUCUGUUUAAAUGGCAUAGCAAUAAGAAUUUUUUGUUUUUGGGGAAUCAUAUCUGCUUAAAUGGUAUAGAAAAUGCUGAGUGCACUGUCAAAUAGAUUUUCCAGCAGUCUGCUUUCAGUUGUUUUUGCAAAUCCUCACAGGCCAGUGAACUGACUUUGUUUUUACCACCCCAUGCCAUUUAAAUGACUAAAUCAGUCAGCCUAAUACUAUAUAUGGUCAUGCUAUGAUCUUAUUUCUUGAAGCUCUAUAGGUCAACCCAUAAGGGUAACUUAGUUUUUCCUAUUCUGGCUGGGGAAGUGGAUACGAUGGCUAUCCUUGGUAGAGUUAAAUACAUUGGCGGCUCUUAGCGCGCCAAUGUGGCACCACAAUAUCGAACAUAUGUAGAAACCCCCUUGUUUUUUCUCAUAUCCCUCUCUCUCAGCGUCCUCUUCUCUUCUUCUCCUCUGUCUCCUCCCCUCCCAUCGCGUGCUUUAUUGCGCCGCCGCCAUCCGCCUCCAUGUAUGAACACGUCGUUUGUCAUGAAGAAGCAGUUGAUGAGGCAAUCAAGCAUGUGGUGCACAAGGUUCUUCUGCUGGCCAAGUCCGAGUCGAACAGCCGCGCAUUCAUUGGGGAAGCACGCGCCAGGCAUCACCAGGCUCCUCGUGCCCCUACUCUGCUCCAAGGACUCGGUGCUUCGACGCGCUGCUUUCCCUGUCCGGCGAGCGGGGAUCGUUGGGAGAUGAUCGAUGGAGGAUGGAGCUGAUCCUCCUGUACACGGUGCCGGUGGGGAGCAGGGAGCUGCGGAGCAGGUCCACGGGCGGCGCCAUUACAGCAGGUGCAGGCUAAGGGUAAUGAGCAGAUCGAGGCGAUGGAGGAGGACCCGCACGAGGUGCAGCUUCUUCGCCUCCUGCGCAAAGUCAGCGCCCAAGCAGCCGCUGAGGGACAGGCCGAGGCUUAGCUCGAUCUCAUCCGACUAAAUGGUGGCUGCACUCCCACAGUCCCACUGGUGCUCCUCCCUUCUGUCCGAACCUGCCGAGGAAAUCCCUCGAUGCCAUGGGUCCCGGCUGGACGACUACUCCUCCCACAGAUUGACUGAGGAAGAAGAGCUUCUCAGUGUCCAAAAAUUCAGUUACACUGGAAACAGCAACCAAUUACGUUCUUCCGGCUCAGCCAAGCCCCAAUCUCCUUGCUUCUGUGCGCCCCUGCUAAAUAUUCCAGAAACCAAUCUGGUUAGUUGUUUUUUCACAUUUUCAGUGCAUGCCGGUGCUGCUGUGUGCGGCAUGCAUGGAGUUGUCGUGGGAGUGCACGGUGGCUUAGCUGGUGCGCCAGUGCGCGGGCACGAACACAACGGUGAAGAUGGCAGGGCCAUCUCAAAGCUCCUGAGCACCUGCACGCGUCGCUGAGCAGGACAUGCUGCGACGGUGGGCGAGCGCUGCUAACGCCCUGGGGAAGAGCAGUGGGUGCAGAGAGAGGGAGCGAGGGAGAGGGGUUCUUGUAUAUGUUUGCUAGCGUGGCACCGUUUACGGUGCCCGCCUAAGUGGCAUUCACGUGUCAUUCAUCCCAAAUGGUGUUGCAAGGUUGAACCUAUUGUGGGAGGCUUUUGGUUUCCCUUGACAGUAUCACCAGUGAUAUCACUGCGUUCUGGUUAUGUAUGAAACACUUGUCCUUUUAAAACCUUUCUGAAUUUAGAAACGAAUUUGAAACAUUACCCUCAUUUCCAUGUUUUUCUAUCUUUUGUCCCUGUAAAAUCAAACUAAAUUUGAAUUAUUAUGUUCAGAACUACAAGCUGAUUUACUUGUCCCAUUUGCUAAUAACAGGGCCUUGUGAUUUCUAAUGAACAUUGCAGAGCAUGUUAUAAAGCGUAUGCAUGAACACCAAGGGGAUGAAACCAUUGGUAUAUUUCUCACAACCUUUUGAACUUAUCAUUUAGCAUAUUUGUGUUCUAGUGUGACGUUUCAGCCACGAGACAUGAGAAAUGUUAGCUAUGGAUUUUGGUUAUUCAUCAUGGGUUCACAGAUUUGUUUUUCUCUAAAAGAAUUGGGAAGUAGCUUUCUUUCUGGGUAUAUGUGGGGAAAUGCAUAUGCAAUCUUUUAUUUAUUGAGGUGACUGUAAAAUUCUUGUCUGACUGAAUAUGCGAUUUCAACCUACAUGCUAUACUUAGGGAAAUUUGUGAAUCUCCUAAUGUCUGCUGCAUGGCAUGAAUGCAUAUUUUACUGGUCCAUAAUGUGAAGUUCUGUAUAUAAACUUCUCGUGUUGACCCUUUAGAACAUGCUAACUGGAGAGUUUUCUAGAGUAGUUAAACAAGAGAUUUAGUUAAAUCUGCACACAUAGGUGGGGCCUGGCAUACCCUAAGAAUCGGCCUAGCCGGUCAGCCCAUUAGUAAAAAAAAAAGCACCGCAGUCAGCAGUCCCCACGUUGGUCUUCCUCGAGUCGCGACUCGCGAAGCUCCCAUCCUCCGAGUCCAAGAUGGUGGACUGUGUCGAGCGCGGGGCGGGCGAUUAGUUGCCCGGCCGCCGGCGGGGGAUGGCCGGACGGCCAGAUCGCCGACUCCUCUAGUCCUCCCUCCAGCCUCUGCGCUUCUUUCACAGUGGAGCUAGCGGCGAGGCGCCCGACCGACACCCUUCUUCCCAAAUCCCGGCAGCCCUACCUCGAUUUGGCCUCCUCCGAUCAUUUGAUAAUCAAUUUGAUGAAAUUAAUAUGGAGUUGCUUUCUUGUAUGGUUGCCUUCAAUCCUGCUAAUUCAUUUGCUUCAUUUGAUGCACAAAAGAUACAUAGACUUGCUAUAUUUUUAUCCACAAGACAUCACAAGCACGGAUUUGCUAAAACUUGAAUUCCAGCUCGAUAUUAUAUUGAUGAUGUGAGAUAGGAUGAUAGUUUCAAAGGCCUACAAGAUCUUGUUAACUGAGACUCAGUUAAGCUUGUUGAAACAAACAGGCAUAAUAUUUAUGACUUGGUUUACUUGCUUCUCAAAUUGGUAUUGGUUCUUCUUGUGGCGACAGCUAGUGUUGAAAGGGAUUUUUGUGCAAUGACUUUGAUCAAGAGUAAGCUAAGAAAUAAGAUGGGUGAUAGUCUUUUGGAUGAUUGUCUUAUCACAUUCAUUGAGAAAGAUAUUUUCUUUGAAGUGGAUGAAGAAGAUAUAAUUAAGACUUCAUAUCCAUUAGAAAUCGUAGGCUGGAGAAGAAGUAAUAUUUUAAUUUUCUUUGAACGUUAGGUCUGUAAGCUUCUUUUAAACUAUCUACAUUAUAAUUUAUGGACCUUUUAAUUUAACCGUUGAAUUCAUGAUAUUAUGAGAUUUUUUUAUCUAUGUUAUUAUUGUUUACCGAUUUAUUACCAAAUUAUUAGUUUGAUCUUACAAUAUUGUAUUUUGGAUGAUUGGCUCGGCAUACUCUAAGUUUAAAUCCUAGCUCCGCCACUGUUUGCACAUUAAUGUGGCUUAUAUGUGUGGAGUCACUUAACCUAUGCACUUGGACCUCCACUCCCUUAGGUUUUAUGAACCUAAUUUGACAGCCUGCUCGUCUUUUAUUUUCUACCAAUCAGCUAGGAACGAACAUGGUGAUGUUUGCAUCUCUGCCAUCAAUGGCUUACAUGUCAUUAUGUAUCACAUUAGCAAGUCUUGUUUUGUUAUUGGCUGGGAUGACGGGGACUCUAGCUGGAAUUGAAUCAAAGUGGUAGAUCACAGGGUAUUCAUUGCCAUGUAUUUCUGCAGUUGCAUGGACUUGCAUCAAACGGACCUUCCUACUUAUGUGAUUGUCCUAUAUGAUCUCCUUUGAUUUCAUUUGCACACUGUAAUCACAUUAGCUAGAACACUCGCUUUUUGCUUCAAAUUUGAAAUUCAUAUCAUGAUGGACUAGAACGCUGAAUUUCUUGAUUGCUGAGUUACUAAUCACAUUGUGGCGCUGCCAAAGAAGCUGGACUCUUCAUUGUUGUUGCCUUGUGGGCUGCCGUGUGCAAAGAACAAGAGCGCACGGUAUUAUAAUAGCAGAGCAGAACACAGACAAGCGACAAGGAGCGGAGCAGAGCAGAGCACAGCCAGGCACAAGCAGUAGAGUAGAGCAGAGCAACCGGGAGAGGAGAGGGCACAUAUGCAGAGUAGAGCAGAGCCAAGCGCAAGCAUUCAUGCACUCAAGCAUGCAGCAGAGGUGUAGCAAGGCAAGCACAAGCAGCAGAGCAGAGGGAAGGGAAGGCUGGGAGAUGAAUAGGCGAAUAGUUACCUGGACAGAGCAGAGGGAAUGGAGAUGAUGCAGAUGCUUCCGGAGACUCGAGAUUUGGAGAGGAACAAGGCCACGUUGUGAACAAGGUCUCCUUUCUCUUCUCUAUUUCCCGCGCAAGUACUUGUGCAUAGUGGCUGCCUCAUCCUCCAGGACGUCCACUUCAACCUGAGGCGGGUGCCACAGACAUCCUGGCUAUGCGACGGCUACCCCCAGCACACCCCCGGCGCCUAUGAACCAUGAUCCUAAUACUAUAAAUUGUCAACCUUGUAAUCUUAUUUCAAGCAUGCUCUCUAUGUCAACCUGUAAGGUUAACUUCGUUUUUCCUUUUCUGGGUAGGGGAGUGGAUAUUGCUGUUAUUUAUAUUAUGUUGAUAUUGGUUUCCACAUGUCAUUCACCCCAAAUGUGUUGCAAGGUUGAACCUAUCAUCGGAGGAAUUUUUUUCCCUUUACCUUUAUAUCACUACGCUCUGGUUAUGUAUGAAACACUUGUCUUCUUAAAAACCUUAAUUUAGAAACAAAUUUGAAACACUAUCUUCAUUUACAUCCUGUAUGUGUUUUCUACCUUUUGUCCUAUAUGAUCUGCUUUGAUUUGAUUUGUGCAUAGUUUUUUCAAUUCAGACCUGGUGAUUUCUGAGGUUCAUGUUGUGCUGAUAAGCAGCCUACUAUUCAGUAACACUUUCAUGUGGCAUGUUCAUGUUAGCUAGCUAGAAACACUGCUUUUAGCUUCAAAAUUCAAAUUCAUGACAUGAUGGACAUUGACAAUGAAUUUCUUGAUUGCCGAGCUAUGUACACUGUAAUUCAGACCUGGUGCUUUUAGUUUUUUUCUUGAUUGCCGAGCUAGAAACACUGUGCUUUUAGUUUUUUCAAUUCAGACCUGGUGAUUUCGGUUUUUUCAAUUCAGACCUGGUGAUUUCUGAGGUUCACGUGUCACACCGAUUUUAAGAACAAAAUCGAGUGCAUUAAAUAUACAUGUACGCUAGGAUCAGGUUACACACAUGUACGACAUAAGCGAAUAUCAAAGACAAUGCCAUAACGAAAUAAAGAGAGUAUUAAUCAUUAUUACAUGACCGAAAGUCUCAAAUAAACCACAAAAUCUAUUUAUUACAUAGCGGAACUUCUAAGAUAGCAACGUCUCCACAGGCAGCUGACUGAAGAACUGUAUGCCUAGAACUCUUCAAAAUCGUGCAGGUACUCCUCCAGAUUAGCUUGGUAUGAACAACGGUUUUGCAAGGGUGAGUACACUUAUGGUUGGUACUUAAUAAGUCGUGGGAAACAAUGUAGUGUAAGGCAAAUCAAGGUAUGGCUAAGGCUUAAACAGCAUCAGCUUUUAAUUUAGUUGGUCAAAUUUUAUUAGCAAUUAAUUAGACGUAAAUUUAUACCACCCGAAAUUAAACAAGAACAUGAAUAAAAUAAUAACAUAACCAUAAAUGAAAUGACAACAAUUUAAAUCCAUCUUUUCAUAGCAUUAUCAUGUGAGGGUCCAGUCCGUUCUUAACCGUGAGCACCGCUGAUCGAUCAGUUUUACACUCUGCAGAGGUUGUACAUCUUUACCCACAAGUCGCGUAAAAGUUCAAAAGAAUUUUGGACCCAACCAUGCGGUAUUUGCAAGGCACCAUACCACACUUCCAAGGUGUGAUUGCAUAUGAACGCUACGAGGCCUUUACAAAGAUUCAUUAGUAAGUGGUAACCCGCUAAGGUUUCGGUAUUUGGCGUGCACAACCUAUCACAGGCCGCUAAUGCAACGACUCAGUCCCCCCUCUUGCCUCAUCACGAGUAAGAUUACCCCAGACUAAGGUUUCUAAUUAUUCAGCCAAGAUCAGAACCAUUUAGUCUUGUGGUAGCACUGUUUUCCUGGGUGGUUCUCCAUGUUCCGAUUAAACAUAAUGGUCUUGUAUUAAUGGAAGGUAUAACAUAAAUAAUACCAAAUUAAUAAUAAUUCAGAUUAAAUCACCAUAACCAUAUUUGAGCACUAAGCAUGAGCUACCCAACAUAAAUUUAACCCGGUUGGUCAAGGCAAGGUAGAUAAAGUCUAGGAAAUUCUUAAUUGGGACCCAUCAAGUUUAAAUUAUACUUUGCAUGGUAUGUUGCAUAGAACAUGAAAGUAAAUGUGAAUAGGACUGAAAAGGAGUGAUUAGGGACACGACUUGCCUUUUUAACCUUGUUCUUGCUGUUCGUACUCUUCGAAAACUUUGAUCUUCAAAUCCCUUGAACUGCUGACCGUCUACACGCGUCACACGACCACAUACAAGCAAACAAAUAUAAUACAUAAGAAAACAGUACACCAAUCAUAAUUAAAUAGAAGAAACAAAUUUGAAAAGCUAUUCUACGCAUUAAAACGAAAACACGGAUACAAGGAACGUUAAAAACGGAGCUACAGUGCAAAAACUACGCUUAAAACAAGAUGCAGGGGUAUAACUACGAGAAACCAAACUUCCAGGGAUUUAAUUUUAAAUAAUUUUGAACUGCAGAAGGGGCAGCAGGGCAAAACGUAGAAAAUGCAGGGGCUUAAGCGCAAAAGCAUGGCUGCUGACUCAGCUGACUUGAUGUGGAUCGUCGGAUGGCGAUCCGGCGGCCGGCAGCUGCUGCGCUGACGUCAGCGACGGCGAGCGCCGGCGAAAAACGGCAGUUCGCCGGAAUCGCCCGGGAACGCGCGACUGGGUGCAGAUUUGAGCGAGGAUUAGACUAGCAGAUAGAAACGAGCGCAGUGAACUCAUUUGGGAUGCCUACGGCGAGGACUUGGCGACGGCAUCGGCUCCGGCGAGAACUUGCGGCAGGGAAACCAAAUAAAAUAAAAUAACACGGUUCAGAGAAGCGGCGCUGGAGGAACGCGAGCGAUUUUGCGUGCGAGCGGAAGAAAACACUGCGAGGAAGAUGACUGCGGGCCCUGCUUGUCUGCGGCAGGAGGAGAGCUGCGUGCGAGAAGAACCUGGCCACGAUCUGGGCCGUUGCCUUCGAUCUGGGCCGAGGCAAGCUAGCUGGCCCGCUGCUGCGGAAAGGUGCUGGGCCACGGGCGGAGCACAGCGUCGGGCCAGAAAGGAGAUGGCUGCUGCGAGGAAACAAAAGAAAAUGAACUGGGCUGCGACAGAGGAAAACUGGGCGUCGGCCAGAAAGAAGCUGCGUGCAGCUUGCUCUUGUUUCCGAACUAGAAACAGGAACUGACGGAAAGACAGAAAUCAAUUGGAGACUGAAACUGACGCCCCAGACUCUGAACUUCGAAAAAACAGGACAACCAGCCAACUGACAGAAAAAAAAAAGCUUAACAACCCAAAAGCAGUACACAACCACGAAACCAGGCCACAAGACUGAAAAAGCUUGAUAGGAACAUCUGGCGACUGAACCAAAAAACUACAGAACUGCAACUGAAGAACUAGAGAACAGAUAAAUAACUGAUUGAACUCUGAAACUGAAACACCAAAGAGCAGGAAGCUGACUGACGGAAAAUGCAAAACAGCAACCCAAGGUGAAACACAAAUUCUUCUUCAAGCAUUCAAACAAAGAGAUAUGCAACAGCAUGAAUGCUCAAUAAAAUCCUAUAUUUCAUUAAUUAAUUAGAAAAAAUGCUCAAAUGCCUAGAAAAAUGCAAAAGUGACCUUAUAUGCCUUAAACAAGCAAAUUCGUUUCUAGCGAUUUUUGGUAAAAUGCAAAAUUAGAGAUUUUGGGUGUUACAUCAUGUUGUGCUGAUAAGCAGCCUACUAUUCAGUAACACUUUCAUGUGGCAUGUUCAUGUUAGCUAGCUAGAAACACUGUGCUUUUAGCUUCAAAAUUAAAUUCAUGACAUGAUGGACAUUGACAAUGAAUUUCUUGAUUGCCGAGCUAUGUACACUGUAAUCACAUUGUGGGGCUGAUAAAAUAAGCAGCGUUGAGACACAUAACAAUUGAAUCUUAAGCUUCACACAGAAUCUGGACCAGUCAUCCUCAUUCCUGUCAUGCUGGAAAUGUCUUUGAUACAUUUCAAUCACAGGCAAUUGAAUUCGUACUGGGGAGGAUGGCAAUGGUGCAUGAAGAGAGAUCAAUGUGGCAAAUCUCACAUUGUUCAUUACCAGGUAUCUCCGAUUUCUGGUUAUUUUAAAUUUACCUUGACAUGUGACUUAUUGAGGUAUUGUAUUUCAUCUAAUGGUAGUUCUGAAUUUAUGGUAACCUUGGAUGGGGUUUGUCACUUUAUACACGCACGGACUUACAAAGGACAGCAAAUGAGUAUAUUUAGAGGGCUCCUGUCCAACCAUGGACUAUACUUAUGUACCCUUUUUUGACAUGGUAAUUUGAGGUUAAUGGAAAAGUAGCGAUAGUCGCCUCCAGCGAAGCUACCUUCUUCGAAAGCUCCGAGGCUGCUUUCUCGCUCUUAGCAAGCCGAUCCCUCGUAAUCAUCGAAGAGUAAGAGACCUACAGAUUUUAAAAACCAAGUUACCAAAAAUAACGAAGUAAAAGACAACACUCGCAAGACAAACCACCAAACUAUCUCAUAAUUGUACCUUCUUUACGAGGUUCGCCUCCAAGUUAAAGAGCUCUUCCAAGAUCAUUGACUUCACAGCUUGCUGAAAAUCUAUGCGCCAAAGGAUAUAGUCGUAAGCAUAAAAUAAAAAUUGGUAAAAACCAAGGACAGCAAAGCCAUCUACAAGCUGUUCUUACCCUCAUACUUUCGCACCUCAACGGCGAUCGGAACAACCUUCUCUCUAGCCUCGCCCUUAGACGCCACCACAAUCUUCCCGCCACACAAAUCCACAACCCCUCCUUUACCUUUGCCCUCUCCCGAAGUCGUCGUGCCCGCCUUCUCCACCCUUUUUGAACCGCCAACAUCUGCAUAGCGCUCGCAACCUUCACCUUCAGCCCCCCAGACCAAAGACAGGUUGUGAGGAUUAUAAACCCUACCUUCGGCGCAUGUAGCUAGAAUCUCCGUGCGCCCGCUCAAGCCCAGACACUCAUUCAGUCCCUGAAGCCCCGCCGGCAACCUCUCACCUACAUCAUAACAUUCAACUUUUAGCCUCACAUGAUCCUCACAACUAACCUUACCAACGCCCCCCAUAGUUUCUUCCAAGUCCUUCAAAAAUUUCGUUGAGGCCUCACCACAAUCAAAGAACCGUAGCAUCGAUAGAAACACCUCUACAUGCUUACCAGAUCUCACAGCUUCGGCACACCCACCCUUUGGAUCAGAUGAGAACGCAUCCACAAGCUUCGCCUUUUCGGUGGCAAACCCCCUCUCAAGUUUCCCAACAUCAGUCAAGAGAUGUUGCGCGCUCUUAAACUUCGAGCUUAUGGAAGGCACCGUGAUCUUGGUACCAGCUGCCGAAGACGCGUCAACCUUGGCACCCGUAACAGUAACAGGAGCAAAUCGAGGUUUCUUGGCGCCUCUUUUGAUCCGUGCGGCGGGCCCGGUGGAUGAAGGUGCAAGAGCUGGAACCUCCUUAGGAGGGCGCAUAGAGACAGGAACAACAUAUGCCGGAUUGCUCAAGUCGCCAGACGAAGCUGUCGACCACGAUGGCAACAUAGCAGACGAAGCCCCCGCGGUCAUUUCCUUCCUUUUUUGCGCCUCCAAAUUCAAGGUCUUUUGCUUCGCCUUAGCGGUCACUUGCAAUUCAAUAGUGAGCUUCACCAUGGGUACGAAGUCAAAUUUUGCCUUUUUCCUCUGCUCAAGACUAGCACCGCGACGGCGCCUCUUGCCCGUAACUUUGGGGUGAGGCAGAACCACAAUAUCAUACAAGUCAAAAAUCUAAGAUGAUGACAUUCCAUUUGUAUCCAUGAUUUAUAUUGUGUUCCUUGAAUAUCCAUUAAAGUCUACUUGAAUUGAUUUGCAAUUAUGUGAAUUGUAUGUGAAACUCUUUCCUUGUAUGGUUAUUCUAAAGUUGUCCCUAGUCGGAGUUCAUGUGAGGACACAUGAAUAUUAGACUAGCACAUGUAUUAGUUGAUGACUAUGUUUCACAAGUCAUGGACAUGAAGAUGUGGAACUAAUAAUGUGGGCACAUGUGGAGACACGUGCUAGGACUGACCCAACACGAGAAGUAGUUCUCUCUUUAUACAACAUAUACGCUUUGUCCUUAGACCUGAGAUUGUCGCAUGUACUCAAGAUGUGGAUCGACUUACUUAGGGGCUAUCAAAUUCUACGCCGUAACAGGGUAGUUAUAAAGGUAGCUUUCGGGUUUGUCAAGAAGCAUGCUAUGAGACAUGGUCAAUCAAGAUGGGAUUUGCCCCUCUCUGAUUGAGAGUGAUAUCUCUGGGCCCCUCGAGUGAUCGGAUCCGAAAAUGCAUGGCCAUGCUACAUACGAUUAAGAGUUAGCCUACAAAAGGAUUCCGAAUCAUAGGAUCGAGAAAGAGCGGUCGGCUUGAAGCUAGACCAAAUAUCGUGAGGCAAAGGGAAUAGCAUGUAUAUAAUGUUGUGAUGGUUCGUCUGAUAUGAUCUUCGUGUGCGUAUAGGAGUUGGCACGUCUUGCUAGAGGUCGCUACCGACUAUUGGGCCGAGUAGGAGUACUCAGGCCAUGUCUAUACGUAUCCGAACCCAUAGGGUCACACACUUAAGGGGCUGGAAGCCCAAUUCGGAUGUGAUCCGAAUUGGAUUAGGUUUAGAAGUACUAAUGGGCCUUGGACCUAGAGGCCCGUUAGGAACCUCUAUAAAUAGAGGGGUGGGGGCGCCCUAGGGUUUACACCUUUUUGGUGAAACACAUCUGCCGCGCCUCCCACGCCUUCGCCUGUUGCAACUCGCGGACCUAGCAGUCCGGCUUGCGACGCUUCCUCCCUGCACGUGUGGAUACCUUGGAAGUGUUGCUCCUGCAGCACUUGGACGAGCCGCCAACGAGCCACGACGAGCCACGAUGAGCCGACGAUGAGCCGCGGCACGAGGGGGAUCUUGCUGCACGUGGACGAGCUGCUGAGGAGCUGCUGGACGUCGAUGUGUUCGACUACGUACGACUACGCUGAUCGACUUCGCUGCAUCAACGCGAAUCUACAUCUUCCGCAUCAUUGCAUCGAGUGGUAAUCCCGUGAUCCUGAUACGGCAGUUUUCCUAGUUUACGCGGUAGAAAAUUUUGUUUUGUGCUAGUGUAGCCUAACUCAUAUCCCAACAACGUGUGCUAUAGGUCACGCAAGCCUGAAAAUGGCCACACCGGACACCGGGUACGAAAACAUGGGGGAUGGACCGAACAUUUGAAAAUGGCCUCCAUAUGUGUUUUCGGCUAUGAAAAUGUGUGUUAUAGGUCACAGAAGCUUGAAAACGGCCGCACCAGCCACUAGGGACGAAAACGUGGGGGAUGGACCAAAGACAUAAAAAAUAGCCUCCAGACGCGUGUUCGGCCAUGAAAACGUGUGGUAUAGGUCCUGGAAGGCCAAAAACAGCUACACCGGCCACCUGGGACGAAAAAGUUUGUGUAAGACCGAACACUUGAAAAUAGCCUCUGGACGCGUGUUCGGCUAUGAAAAGGUGUGUUAUAGGUCACACGAGCCCCAAAACAACCACAGCGAACACCAGCUACAAAAACAUGGGGGAUGGAUCGAAUAAUUGAAAAUGGCCUCCAGACGUUUGUUCGGCCAUGAAAUCGUGCGUUAUAGGUCGCGGGAGCCCGAAAACGGCCACACCGGCCACCGGGAAUGAAAAUGUGGGGGAUGGACCGAACAAUUAAAAAUGGCCUCCGGAUGUGUGUUCGGCCAUGAAAACGUAUGUUAUAGGUCACGGGAGCAUGAAAACGGCCGCACUGGCCACUGGGGACGAAACGUGGGGGAUGGACCGAAGACGUGAAAAUAGCCUCCAGACGCAUGUUCGGCCAUGAAAAUGUGUGCUAUAGGUCAUGCAAGGCCAAAAACAGCUGCACCAGCAACCGGGGACGAAACCAUGGCUGUCAAACCGAACGCUUGAAAAUCGCCUUCGGACGCGUGUUCGGAUAUGAAAACAUGUGUUGUAGGUCACGCGUGCCCGAAAACGUCCACAACGGACACCGGGUACAAAAACGUGGGGGAUGGAUCGAAUAACUGAAAAUGACCUCCGAACGCGUGUUCGGCCAUGAAAACGUGUGUUAUAGGUUGCGGGAGCCCAAAAAUGGCCACACCGGCCACCGAGGAUCAAAACGUGGGGGAUUGACCGAACAAUUAAAAAUGGCCUCCGAUUGUAUGUUCGGCCAUGAAAACGUGUGUUAUAGGUCAUGGGGGCCCAAAAAUGGCCGCACCAGCCACCAAGGACGAAAAUAUGGGAGAUGGACCAAAGACAUGAAAAUGGCCUCCAGAUGCAUGUUUGGACAAAAGUGUGUGCUAUAUGUCGUGCAAGGCCAAAAACAGCUACACCAGCCACCGGGACAAAAACGUGGGUGUUUGACUAAACAAGUGAAAAUGGCCUCCGGAAGCAUGUACGGCUAUGAAAAUGUGUGCUAUAGGUAAUGGAAGGCUAACAAAAGCUACACCGGCCACCGGGGACAAAAUCAUGGGUGUCAGACUGAACACUUCAAAAUGGCCUCCGGACGCGUGUCCGGCUAUCAAAACGUGUGUUAUAGGUCAUGCGAGCCCGAAAACAACCACACUGAACACCGGGUACAGAAACAUGGGGGAUGGACUGAAUAACUGAAAAUGGCCUCUAGACGCGUGUUCGGUCAUGAAAACAUGUGUUGUAGGAUGCGGGAGCCCGAAAACGGCCACACCGGCCACCAGGGCAUGGACCAAACAAUUGAAAAUGGCCUCCGGAUGUGUGUUCGGCCAUGAAAACGUGUGUUAUAGGUCACGGGAGCCCAAAAAUAGCCGCACCGACCACUGGGGAUGAAAUCGUGGGGGAUGGACCGAAGAUGUGAAAAUGGCCUCCAGAUGCGUGUUCGGCCAUGAAAACGUGCGCUAUAAGUCAUGUAAGGCUAAAAAUUGCUACACCGGGACUAAAGCAUCCCCCAUGAGUUACAAUAAAAGGAUUGUAUCCUCUACUCAGUCGGAUGUACUGUGUAGGUGAGAUGGUAAGGAAGCUAUGCGCGAGGUUUGAGGUUGUGGGUUGAAAUCCUACGCACCGCGCGCACACGCGCAUAUUUUGUGUGAAAAAUCAUGUGACUUGUGAUCGGCCAAGGAGAAGUGGGUGCAGCUGUGGCUUAAGUGGCUGAGGCACGCUGCCAUAGACAUCUCCGAUUUGCUCGAAGACUACCAAGACACUAGCAAUAACAAGAACUACUGCUCUUCCUAGCAGACUCUUUACAACCACUUUAAAGCUGUGCAUUUCUCAAUGUAAUUUCGUAGAAGGCAAUCGAUCCAACCAAGCGACUAAAUCAUUUGUUCUUGCCAAUGAUGUACAUCAGGUUUUCUAUAUGAAGGACAUGUCUAGCAAACCUAAGAUUUUAGAAGAAAAAGAAAAAUUAUGGGAGUCAAUAAUAAAUCAGGCCAAUCAGGAGAUUAUAGUAAGCUCGAUGGUAUGCCUCCAUUCGAUGUCGAAGUUGGCCCAAGCAUCAUGUUAGCCAAAGAUCAAAUGUUCGUGCAUUGCUACGGUAAAGAUCAAUUGUGUCUUUUAAACCCAUGGAAUUUUUUAUCUAUGUUUUUAUUACACUUAAUGGAUGUCUACACAUUUGCUAGAAAAUCAAAAUAAUUUUGACUUAAUUAUUUCUUUCAACUCAAAUACUCAUUAAAUUUCUACCUUUUUAUUUAAGCAAGAGAGUUGCUCAAAAAAUGGAUACGUAACCAUGUUGUAUCAUACAAAGCAACCACAUUUCACAUAUAGUCUGGCUUAGCAAACACCAUUGUUGUCUUAACAUAGUGUUCAUGAGUUAGUAGACAUGGAUCUAUUUCUAAUUGCAAGUAGUGCAGCGUACAACCAGCCUGCACCGCCGCAGCUCAAUAUGCGAUAAUUUUUUAUCUUCCCAUGUAAUUUUUCUACUCUAGUACAUAUUGAACUCCACAUAAAUGUCAUGUUCUUUCACGCCACAGACGGUUUCUAAAGUUUGGAACUAAAUAGAUAGCCAAAAAUUUUAAAAAAAUAUUUAUAUGGAUACAUGUAUGUUCUUUGCAAACUAACAAUAUUGUUUACAAUAUCAAAAGGAAUAUGGCUAUGAUCAUUGCCGCAUAUGGCAGGUGAUGGUAGAUGCCGUAUGGGGUUUCUUUAACUUAAUUGUAUAAUAAGCUGAAAUACAUUUUCUAUUUGCAAAUGAAUCAUAGCUGAAAGUGGUGGGAUUGUAGAACCGCCGGCCAUCGUGUCCUUGUAGGACCGCUGCACGAGCCUGUGAGCCACCAGCCACCAUGCGCCCAAGGGCCAUCACCACGCCAUAAGAGGAUGCUGUCUACCCGGUUUCGCGCGCCUGUGCUAGCUGCCUGAACCUGGGCCGCCGCCGGUCGCCUGCCCAGCCGCGCGUUGCGCCAGGGUUUUGCUGGUGACGACCAUGGCCUUCGCGAUCAAAUUAAAAAGUUAUCAACUGCAAAGUAUUAGGUCUCGUUGAGCUCUACAAUUUUGAUAUAAAGUUUCUAUUCAUCCGAGAUCAAAUAAAAAAUUUGAUACUCAAAGCAUAAAUCCAUUAAUCUAGUCUUGCUAAUCCUUACCACCAAAUAAAAAACUAGCAUGUGUUGUGUGUUUGUGACCCUAAACGAUCACAAAUGAAUAACUUAUGGGCCUUGCUAGCGCCCGGAUGUCCAGGCCGGGGCACUAGCAUCAGACCCACGAGUAGCCGUCCGAUCAGGUUCGACACCACUUCAGGAUCUGGCUUAAAAAGAAGUCCCACCGAAACAUUGUUCCAUGUUGCAUGAAGCAACCCACUACCGUCGCCAGGUCUAGAGCAAGCACCACCUUCAAAUGUGCUGCUCACCCUAGCUAAAUAGGGGCAUUAAAAUAUUUCUCGCAUAUCCUUCUCAAAUUAAACAAAAUCGCAACAUCUGAAAAUUUUUACAGAAAACCAUGAAACAUAUCGAUUAGAUAGAUGUAACAAGAUGGAAUAUGGUAUAUGCAACAUAUAGGUUCCGAAAAGCAGAUGAAAUAUUAUGUAAUGAUUCUUGAAACAGUCAAGAAAAAUAGAUGUAACAUCUAAAAUUAAGAAAAGAAGCUUUAUGCAAAUUGCAAAAAGCUGAAACAAGUGGUUGAAACAUUUCAAAUCACCAAAUGCCACAUUUGAAAUGACCAGAUGAAACAUCACGAAAUCAAUUGCAACAGUUGAAGAUGAAAACAUUCAAAUGCCUUGCCUUUCUCCAAAUUUGACCCUCCAAGCAUGAGUCCAGCCAUUUGCACAUUAGACCCUUGGGAGGAGCUCACCGGAGAACAACAAGACCGUGUUAUCCAACAAUUUUCAGAUCAAAUUGCAACAUAAAGAACAAAGCAUUGCAACAUCUGGCAUCACGAGCUACAACAGCAACCAGUUAGGAUCAGGAGAAAGAGGGCAAACACAAGCCUAACAAUGAGUUAUAUCCGGUUUAAACAAGGAUAAAAAUGAGUGUAUUUUACACUCAUCAUGUUGUCUUUUCGCAGCUGUACCGCCUUUAGCGUGUUGUAUUGUUCCUAACACCAAGUCUCCGAGGCCCGAAAAAAUAAGGAAAGUGGUAGCAGCUCAGAAAUCGACUAAGUUUCUUUCCCCCUUUGGCUUUCCUACUAGGAUUCGGAAUCCUCUUUCGUAUGACAAUCUUAAUGAUCUCCCAUAGUCCAAAACUCACAAAAACAUCAAAAAUCCACCGAGAAUAAAUUAAGUAAAAAAACAUGCACACACAGAUAAUAAUAGUAAUCAUGUUUCAUUAUGAUUGCUAAGGUCAGACACAAUACAUAAACAUAUUAGACUGAGUGACCCACCUCACCUCAGAGUAUGCACCAUGUCUGAGUGACCCACCUCACCUUGCCAGGACACUGGUCCUGCCCUCGUGGUUCACGCGCCCUCGUGGUUCAGCAGUGGUCAGUACACAAAUCUAGCUGCCAGUCGGAUCCAAGGGCAGGCAUUUGCAUUGUGGUUGUGUUUGAACAUGGAGAUGUCAUUAUUAUUGUCAGGCACCAUACAUCCUCUCUCAGUUUCACUCCGCCUCACACACGGAUAGCACACCAGGGACCCGACACCAUGCAUGCCGAUUUCAUAUUAUUAAUAUUUAAUUUUUUUAAUGGUUGUUGAAACUAUAUUGUUGAUAUUUUUAUACAUAAUUUACGACCUAAUUUGGAUAUAUUUUUGAAAUAUUCCGAAAUCUUAAAUUCACACGUCUAGAGAUACAGUUAGUCCAAUCUGAUGUUUCCGAUUAUAAAAAUGAACAUAAAGAGAUAGGAAGCGAGAGACGUGAGGGGGAAAGUUAAAUUAGGGCCUAAGGGGUGAAGUUAGGGUUCCAGGUGAGCUGUCAUCACUACGUGUUUUUAAUCGAAAUUGGAAUGUCAGCAAUCGUCAGAUCUUGAGCCAACAGUUGAGACUGCCUCGGAAUGGUAAUUAGGUCUGCGCGAGCUUGCAUUGUGGCCUUCCUUGAAACCUUGGACAUAGGUGUUAUAUUAUUAUGUUCUUGCCAGCACACAGCAGUGAAGGACGACACAGUUGAGAUGUGCAUCACAUUUUCUAUAUGAAGGAUAUGUUUAGCAAACCUAAGAUUUUAGAAUAAAAAGAAAAAUCAUGGGAGCCAAAGCGCCACAUAGUUCUUCCAGGUAAAAAAAAAUCAUCCACUGGACCAGCACAUAGUAACGAUCCAAAAAGUCCAUAUUAAGAUUUUUUGAUAGCAGAAAAAACAUAAAAUGUCUAAUAUUUGUAGUAUUAAAAGGAAAAAUAAUAUAUUCACGUGACCUUUUUCCCGUAGCAAGGCACCGGUACGUGGUCAGACUUAAUGCACGAUGCCUAAGCAUCCAUUGGGCCUACCCUCGUGUGGAUCACGCGCAACAGGACACGGCUCACAAGCUAUGAUGUGCAGCAGUCGCUCAGAUGGCUGAAAGGUACCCUUAAUUUGAAUGGUACCAUAUAUAUAUAUAUAUAUAUAUAUAUAGUAAACAAGACAAACCACCGUUGAUACUACUUUGCACUACUUGAUACAUAUAUCUCCACCAAAAGCGAGGCACGUGGGGAGGAGAGAUAUGUGGUUGAUGGUGCGGGCACGUGGCGAGUGCACCGUACGAAAAUUUUGCUCGUGUCGGACGACUGAUGUGAAGCAUUACCCAAUCUUAAUUAUCUCCCAUAAUCCAAAACUCACAAAAACAUCAAAAAUCCGCCGAGAAUAAAUUAAGUAAACCAUGCACACACAGAUAAUAAAAUUGCUAAUAAGGCCAGAGACAAUACAUAAACAUAUUAGACUGUUCAUGACACAUAUCACGGUGGAUAGUGUCUGUGUCCUUAUUACAAGCAAUGAGAGAUGCUUGUCACCACACACACGCGCACAGAUGCACAACAUACAUAUAGUUGAGACCAACAGAUGGAUCAACUAGAGGUCACCCCAUAUGGUGAACAAUUUAUUGGAGAUAAACAUUAACAUAACUUGGCCAUAGCUUGAAGCAUAGCAACAUAUGCCUAUGAACGGCGUUCAUGCUAUCAUUUUAGGCUUGUCCGCUUCUUCCAUCUUAGCAAGCACUUCCAUUUCUACCAUCUUAGAAGCAACUGUCAAAUUGAGAUAUGGAAAUCCCAUUAGCGCAUGAGUUAAUUUUGCAGUGAAAAUAGAGUACAAGAUAUCUUCAUGAUGUAAGUAACAUGCCUGAAGUUGUGAGAUGGGAAGUGAAGUCAACAAAUUACAUUAACGGAAAUGCAUGGAAGGCCACACAUACGUAUUAGUCCAUGAUAUGCUACAAAGCUUGUAUGUACAUAUAGCAAAUUAAAUGCAUUAAUUGAAUAGAGUGAGUUUAGUGAAUUUACCAGAAUCGUCCAGAAAACAUGGGAAACAGCAAGUGUUCUUGCAGACUGCGUCGGUGCCACCCACAGCAAUACAACCAAAACAACAUGCUUUUGCCCGAGCGGCUGCGCAGCAGCCGCACUCUGCCGCGGUGGCCGAGUUAGCAUUGAGGCUCAAGAUGACCAGGCACAUGAUCACCAUCAAAGCGGUGGUAGUCCUCUUUCCCUCCAUUGCCUCCUCUUGCUGCUACCUUCCUUGGUUACCUAGCUAAGUUUAUUGGUUUUGUGUUGAGAGGUGAUUCUUGCAUUGAAUGGACGUUGCCGCGGCUGCAAUUUAUAGGCAGCUGCGCUAUGUGAUGAUAUGGACAAGGUGCAAAUGGGUGGUCCUGAUAUGGAUAAGGUGCAUGCGAAUGGCUGUCUACUUGUAUAGUGGCGCUCCAAUGUACAUACGUAUGUAUCUUAUGCAUGUAUACAGUUGAUGGAUGUACAUGUUUGUUGCACAAAUUAUUCUGAACCAACUCUUCAUAACAGGUCUUUGUUACCAAGUAAUUUUACUUUUGCACGUUUCAGCCGAGAGGCAGAAGAGAAUAUUUUACAGAGAGGGCAGAGAAGGAGGUUGGCGGAGGCGCCGUGGUAGGGUUCCCCGUGUCGCCAAGAUUUUUGCAUUUUAGAUGUGUGUAUUGAUCACUUCGUCGUGCUCGCGGGGCCCAACUCCAGGUUGUACCCCAGCAGACCACGUUCUGUUUCUCUGCCUCCAAUGAGCAUGCAUGCCUCCACAAGGACCACAAGACUUAGUAAAAAAGCUAAACUUUGCAACACGAUGUAUACAGAACGUUUUGAAAUGUACUCUCGUUAGGCAUUCACCUCCUUAACAAUCACUGCGACUGUAAAAGAGGUACAUCGACGCUAGCUAAAUAAACCACUAUAAGAUUUAGCAAGAGAUCAUUUUAUACAAUCCUGUAACGAAACAAUUUGACAAUUAUAGUGUCCAUAUAUUUUGACAAAAAAACGUUUAAAUUAUAUAAGGAGGUGGGCCCGAAAACGGUUGGAUUACAUCGAGAACGUUUUGAAACAGUUGGCGGAGCAGGAUUCUGGCGUGGAGCAUCUACAUUGUCGCGCGCGCGGACUGCCGGAGUAGGCACGCUCGACUUGUCCCAUCGCCAGCUAAAUGAUUUAGUACCGGAUGGUCUCUAGUACCGGUUGGAGCUACCGUCCACCAGGAGCUUUUCUAGUUUGGAACUGGUACUAAUGCUAAUAUUAGUAUCAGGUCAAAAACAAUCGGUACUAAGGCUAGGGAUGACACGUCAUUUUUCUAGUAGUGUGUGCAAUUGGUUUUGUAAUUAGUCUAUAUUUAAUACUUCUAAUUAGUAUCUACACAUUUUAUGUGACAGGGACUGAACUUUAGUCCGUGGAACCAAACACCCCAUAAGUAUGUUUGGUGCUGUAAGGAUUUCGGUUUUAUUUAAUUUCCUAGGCAUUUAAAUUUCUUUCUAAAAUAAGUUAAUGAAUCAUAGGAUCUCAUUGUUGUAUUCAAGCUGGUGCAUUGAUUUUGCCUAUAAAACCCGCCGCGGUCUUCGCAGCCCCCAUCAAACCCUAGCGCCCUUGCCACAAGCUCAGCACCGCUGCCGCCCGAGCUCGAGCACUAGCACCCACCCAUCGCCGUUGCCUUCCCGUCGAUGGGAUCACCGCCCGGAGCUUCGCAUCGUGGUAAGGAAGCCGCCCGUGAAGAUCCCAUGUGCUCCUAUGCCCUCUACCGCGUCCCCGAGUUCCCGGAGUUGCUAGUCUCCCACCGAGCCGACUCUCCGAGCUUCACGUCACUGGUGCCGCUCCGAAGACCUAGUUCGGUUCGCCAUGCACCUCGCUUCAUCCUGAGCUAAACCCCAUAAUGAAUGGUGGUCGGAUGCUCGCCGCCACGGCGCGUCGUCUUUUCUGUCGCCCGUGCAUUGCCUAUCCCCUUCCAGCCGAUUGCAGCUGUCCGAUCGCAAACCGGUGGCCCUGAUCGGAUACCAAGGUCAAUACCGGUCGAACCGAGCCGUGCGCUGCUUUUGCAAGAAGGCCCCUGUUUUUCUCUCUUUUUGCACCUGAGGUCCUACGCAGUUCAAAAGUAAUAAGAUCUAGGUCCUUUUUCUUUUGUUUUAGCCCGUGUUCUUUUAUAAAAUCCCGCCCACUAUUCUGUUUGGUCUUUUGACGCGUUAGACCUUCUUUUUAUAUGUUUAAUUAGGUUUUAGGUCUCGAUUUCUUUAAGUUUAGCCCUUGAAAGUUUAGUUCUCUCGCAGUUAAGCCCCUGAACCUUGUUUAGCUCAUAUCUUAAGCGUUUUAAAUCCGUUUUAACAGAUUCUUGCGCCUAUAAGUUCAUGUUGACGCAUAGAUUAGUUGACUUAUACGAACCUUGCUGAUUCAGCUCCUUGAUUGUGCUUCAGAUCUCGCUAGGGAAGAAUAAUGGAUGGGCUUUGGUUGAGCUUGUAGAUCGACUUGCAGUUGCAGUGAAUGAGCAGAGGAUUGGCAGUGAAUAAGAUCAGGCCGCUGCCCUGCUUGGUAGGGAAAAUAUCUGCUUGCUACCAAGGCCUGUGACGCAUGGACCCCAUUGAGAGUGCAUUAUUGACAAGGACUUAAAGCCAAGGGCUCCACACCUGUCAUUGAUCAGCUGUCUGCUGGGCGCUGCAAGGAGGUAGUGCAUGUUUGACAUAAAGAAGCAGGUGGCCCAGGAUUUACGAAAAAUAAGGAUCUAUUUGAUACCCUUGCUUAUAUUUAGGGGCUAAAAGUUGCUUAUUUGAAGUUGCUUAUUUUUAAUCCUAGCUGUUUGAUUGCAUGGGCUAAAGAGCAUUGAAUGAGGUGGAUAUUGUCAUGUUUGCCUCUAAUGAUUGCUUCCCAUCACAUUUCUCCCCCCUCAUUCAACGAGGGAAGGAGGUGUAAAGUGCACCUUUUAGCCCCGAUAAGUAACCCUUGUGUUGUUUACGGGCUGAACAUAAGUAGCUAAAGUUUAGCUCCAAUAAACAAGAGUGUUUGGUAUUUUUGGGGUUAAAAGGGGCUAAACUUUAGCUGCUUAUGCAUAAGCAAGGCCAUCCAAAUAGGCCCUAAGUAUGUUUGGCGUUGUAAGUAGGUUUUAUUUAAUUUCCUAGGCAUUUAAAUUUCUUUCUAAAAUAAGUUAAUGAAUCAUAGGAGUUCAUUGUUGCAUUCACGCUGGUGCAUUGAUUUUGCCUACAAAACCUGCUGCCGUUUCCGCAGCUCCCAUCAAACCCUAGCACCCCCGCCACGAGCUCCAGCGCCGCUGCCGCCCGAGCUUGAGCACUAGCGCACACCCAUCGCCGUCGCCUUCCUAUCAAUGGGAUCACCGCCCGGAGCCCGUGUCAUGGUAAAGAAGCCGCCCGUGAAGAUCCCGUCCACUCUCGUGCCCUCUACCGCGUCCUCGAGUUCACCGGAGUUGCCAGUCUGCCACCCAGCCGCCUCUCCGAGCUUCAUGUUGUCGUUGCCACUCUAGCUGCCUCUCUGAAGACCUAGAUCGGUUUGCCGUGCACCCCGCUUCAUCCUGAGUUAAACCCCAUCAUGCCACGUCAUAGUAAGGAAGCUGCUCAUGAAGAUCCCGUGCGCUCCCGUGCCCUCUACCGCGUCCCCAAGUUCACUGGAGUUGCUAGUCCACCACCGAGCCGCCUCUCCGAGCUUCACUUCACAGUCGCUGCUCCAGCCACCACUCUGAAGACCUAGAUCAGUUCGCUGUGCACCCCACCUCAUCCUGAGCUAAACCCCAUGACGAACUGUGGUCGGAUGCUCAUUUUCGAGUGAAUUCCGGCGAGAUGGUCGCCCGCCGCCGCCAUCUCCAUCGCCCAUGCACCGCCUGUCCCCUUCCAGCCGAUGUCCGAUUGCAAACCGAUAGCCGAAAUCGGAUGUGGUCACCAGGAUUAAUACCAGUCAAACUAAGCCACGCGUGCCGCUUUUGCAAGAAGGCCCCUAUUUUUCCCUCUUUUUGCACUUGAGGUCCUAUGCAGUUCAAAAGUAAUUAGAUCAAGGUCCUUUUUCUUAUGUUUUAGCCCUAUUCUUUCAUAAAAUCCCGGCUGCCAUCCUGUUUGAAAUAGAUACGGUUAUAGAUAUGCAAACAUCUGCAUAUUUCCAACCGUAUCUCUUUCGAACGGGAGACGCCUAACUAGGUUACGUGACAUACGAACAUCAUACGGAUAGAGAGGGGUAGGAUGUCUCACCUUGCUAUCCUACAAAGUGACGACUCGAGGACAGUAAUGUAGCCUCUCCUUCAAAAAAAGAACAUACUACUAUCAAGUUAAAUUUUUGACAGCACCUCCCCUGCACGUGGAGGUUUCCAUAACCUGCAUCAAAUAAAACGGCACGAUGGCUGACAACCACAUCUACAGCACCAGAAUGGCACGAUGGCCGACUUCCACAUAAAGUUCUUAUACCUUAGAUUGCCAAGUCAAACAUCCUUUUCUAAUUUCUAAAACAAAAGCCCUCCCACCUCUCUAUCUUAUACUUUCCUAUUUACUAAUUGCUUUUGUAAUUUCUAAUUUCUAUUUCAUCCUACCACCUCUGUACCCUUUUCUCAUUUCUAAUUCCAAUUUUCUAACUUGAAGAGCAAAGAUUGAUUACUAGGAGGGGUGAGGGACGCCGGCCUAGAGAGGCGAGGGGACGUCCGGCGGCGGCGGGUGCGUCGGGGGUAGGAUGCCAGGGGCGGCUGCAGGGGCGCCGGGUUGGGGGCGGCCGGGAUCGAGGGCACCAGUAGCGGGGGCACCGGGCCGGGGGCGGCCGGCGGGGCGGGACGCCAGGGCCGGGGCGACGGGCGCCGGUGGCGAGGCCGCCCGGCCGGUGGUGGCCGGCGUGGCGCCUGGGCCGGGGGGGGGGGGCGGGCGGGGUGCGGCGCGGCGCGCCGGGGCAGGGCGCCGAGGCUGGGUGGUGGGGUACGGGGCGGCGGGCGGGGGGUGGGGGGAGGGUCGGCGGCGGGGCGCGGGGGCGGCCAGCGGCGACGGCGGAGGGCGUCGGUGGUGUUUCGGAAGUGAUACGGAGGGGGUAGAGAGAUUCGUUUUCGCGGCUGAGUGUUCGAGUCAGAAGGCCGUGCGGCUUAAGUCAGGUGGUUUGCCGAGUGCGCGCGAUCUGGCACUCGGCAAAGUCAGAAGUUUUGCCGAGUGUCAGAUCGCGGGCACUCGGCAACUGCAGCUUUUGUCGAGUGCCCUGGAUUCGGCACUCGGCAAAGUGAAGUUUUAAUUUUUUUUAAAAAAAUUUAAUCGGAACACGGGCGUGCCAGCGGGCCCGUGACAUACUUUGCCGAGUGUGUAGCAAAAACACUCGGCAAAAUAUUAUCUUUACCGAGUGUUUUCGCUAGGCACUCGGCAAAGUACACUUAUAUUUCAUGUACACUUUUUCAAUAACGUGUUUUACUAACCUUUUUCUGAUAUACUUGGGAAAAACCUUAUCAAAUUCACUCAACAAUGGAUAUAUGGUUUUUCUACUGACAUUAUUCCAUUAUUUCAUUCAGUUAUAGCUCAAAUUGAAUUUAUAUCUAUUAAAAAUCAAUAAUUGCAUUUAAUAAAUAAAAAAUACCAAACGGAUCUGAAAAAUUUCCAAAAUUUGACAUGAACCAAUCUAUGUUGUAUGUUGCCUGUACAAAAAGCUUUGAAGUCAAACCCCAAUUCAAGUGUCACUUGGACUCCAAAUCUUAUCGGAUCCUUUCUAACUUCUAUGAAUCCUUUCGGGAGAUGAGUCGGUUUGUAAGCAUCAUAUGUCAUAAAUUGGGCGAAACCUUCUCAAUUUUUUACCACAGCCUCCACAUAUAAUAUCAUGACACCUUGACAAAUCUUGUGAUUUUCAGACUUCGUUUGCUUUUUUUAGAAUUUAACAACCAUUCAACCACAUGUUCGUGAUCGUGUUUUCUAAAAAAAUGUUCAAAAUUUCUUUUCAUUUCCUGGUUGAGACCUCAAUCCGGAUUGAAUAAUAUGAAUAUGAUUUUUUCACUGAUUUUAAUCCAUUAUUUAAAUCACUUGCAGUUAAAUUUGACUUAAAUAAACAAAUUCCUAUUAAUGCUAUCAAUUCAUUAAAAAUAGCAAACAGAGAAAAAAUAGACCAACUUUUAAGAUGGAUUACCAAAUGUCAUAUGUGGGGAGUAGAAAAAGUGUGGAGAGCAGAGGUGGAAAAAAAAGUUUUGCCUUUGCCAAGUGCCUACACAAACACUCAACAAACUUUGCGGAGUGCCUAUUGAAAACACUCAGCGAACUUCUGAGUUUGCCGAGUGUCUGGAGGGAGCACUCGGCAACCUACUUAUUUGCCGAGUGUCCGCGUCGGACACUCAGCAAAGUACUAACGGCUGGCACACUCCCCUAACGGACGGCGCACGUGCAAGCCAUGUGCUGGAGAUUUAUCGAGUGUCAAAUCGUUGCCGAGUGUCGUGUGGAUGUUUGCCGAGUGUCUUAUUUGUGACACUCGGCAAAGCUAUUGUUUGCCGAGUGUAUUAUUUAUGCCGAGUGUCUUCCAGUAUACACUCGGCAAAUGAUGUCUUUGCCGAGUGCUCGACAUAAAGCACUCGGCAAAAAUUUUACACUCGGCAACAUUCCUGUUUCCGGUAGUGAGUGACCCGGGACUAAAGACCCCCGUUGUCUCUGAUUGCUUUAUUCCGGAUGGAUUUUCAGGAGAUUUGCUCCCUACCAAUAGGGACUAAAGGCAAGUUUUCCACUUAUAGCAAACCAGUUAGCCCAUUGUUGAUGGAACGCAUCACUAGAAACAGCUCGGGAUCCACUUGUCCAAUAAUCGAGAGGGCCUAUAUAUGGACCACGUGUGCGGAUCCCUAAUUAGGAAAAAAGAAUAAUGGAGUAGGACAUCUCCAUGCUCACCUAGUAGCCGCUGCUAGCUUGUGCGUGUGGAACACGAGUGCCGGCCCAGUUGGCGCUAAGACAUCGUACGUGCAUUAAGGCUACGAUCUCUUUCUUCUAACUCAUGCUUGUGCUAUUAUACAUUAUUGCAUGAUCAUCAAGAUAAGAUCGUAUAGUGACUGAGUGAGACAUGUAUGUACUAACAUGCAUUUAAGCCUCGAACUGUGUGUUGUUACGUGAGCUGCCUCCUCACCUCGCCUCUGAAUUAUUGAACCGUUUCCAACAGUGUUGGUCUCAAAUAAAUUUGACACCAAACAGAUUUAUGAAGAAGAGAGAAUAAUACUUGGAAUUGGAAAAAGUUUAUCUCUCUUUACAAUGGAGUAGGGCUCCCUUUUAUAGUGACCCAUAAGCCACUUUACAUUUGGAAAAUGUCCUUCCUCAACCACUACAUUAAUUCCUAGGAUAUGCUGUACAUAAAGGUCAUUUGAGGUAACGUGUACAAAUGAACUCUUCCACAUGGUCACGUUUCUCAUGCCUCCUGUUUUCCAACCUCGAGACAUCAUCUUCACGCCAAGUUGAUCAUCUAGCCUCGAGGCUCCAUCCACGAUCCAGAAUGAACGUCCAGGCUUGAGGCUCCUUCUUCGUUAAGCUUUGUUGAGAACUCAUAACCUCACAUAGUUCUCCUCCGAGUAUUGUUCCCGACUCAGAACACUCGAGGUUUAGCUCAGUUGGAGUUUAGCUAUUACUGUUGCUAGUCACCAGCCUCGAGCCCCUCCAGAAGCAAGGUGAUGCGAGGGUACGAGUUUUACUAUUAAAGGUGUUUCCAUAGAAUGUGCGAGGUUAAAGCACUUGCAGCAAAAGCGUGGAGCUGCUUUCAACCAGAGUGCAAUAAUGCAGCCGUGCCCAUCUUGGUCUUGGUCUCCGCCUGAACUAUAGCAGAUGCUGGCAGCGGUAGCAGGGUGGUCCAUUAUAUCUAUGGAUGGCAAUGGUCGGAUUCGGAUGGAAUCGAAUUCGAAUAGCACUUUUUACCACAUACUAAUUCAAAUCCGAAUUCGGAUUCGGAUGUUCUCGAAUGCGAAUGCAAAAUGGAUGGUUCGAAUUCGAAUACUUAGCGGAUUUUUGCAUAAUAUUAAUCGAAUAGAAUUCAUUAAAUUUAGCCAAGAAAUUAAAUUUUCUGAAAUUAAAUACUUUCCCUUCGCCCCAGCGGCGGCCUAACUCCCAGGACGGUGGCGUGCGGGGCCCGAGCAUCCCUGGCCUCUAGUGGCGUGGCGGGGCGGCAUCCAGCAGCAGCGGCGGGGCUCGGCCUCCGGUGGCGCGCGGCCAGCCCGACCUACCCGGUCAGAGGUGGCGCAGCGGUGCGCGGGCCUCCCCGACCAGAGCCGGUGGGGAGCGGUGCGCGGGGAGGACCUCCCCAGCCGGAGGUAGCAGGGCGCGACCUCCCCGGCCGGAGGUGGCUCCCUGUGGGGGCGCGGCCGUGACAGCUAGCGAGGCAAUAAUUGCUUCCGUACGCAGCAAUAAUUGCUUGUGCGACACCGUGUUAUUACUCUGGUACAGUACUCCCUCCGUUGCAGUACACUGGUCCAGGCGUCAGGACACUGCUCCUGCCCUCGUGGUUCACGUGCAUCAGGCCAGCAGACAAGCUAUGAUGUUGCCAACAGUGUUUGUUUGAACAUGGAGAUGUCAUUGUGAUUGUCAGGGACCCGACACCAUGCAUGCCGAUUUCAUAUUCUUAAUAUUUAUUUUUUUAAUGGUUGUUGAAACUAUAUAGUUACUCCAAUAUCACGUUUCCGAUUAUAAAAAUUAACAUAAAGAGAUCGGAAGGGAGAGCCCGCAUAAUGAAGCCGACGCGUAUAAUAAGCACUAGAGCCGGCAUUUAUACAAACGGGUACGCAUAGUAAAAACUAGAAUUUAUAAAUAAAUGAAGAUAUUCAAAUAUCUGGCUUACUUUUUUCAUUAAUUUUGCAUGAAUAAGGGAUGAUUCAUUAAUCAUUAUUGAACAAAUUGGCACACAUGCUUCGUGCCCGCGUUGUGAGCAUUAUGCGAUGCCACUGAGCUGCACCACCACGGUAGAGGGCCUGUUUGCGAUGCCACCGAGCUGCACCACCACGGCAGAGGGUCUGUUUGGGAAGGGGAAGUUAAAGUUUAACACCCCCCAUUUAACACCUUUUUAACAAAAUGGCUGCUAAACACUUGUGUUAAAAGAGUAGUGUUAAAAUUUAACACCUCUCUUUUCAUAAACACAUGGAGGGGGUGUUAAAAUUUGCUAAAUGUGUUAAAAGUGGUCCCCUCCCCACUUAUUCCUUGGUUGCCCCCCUCUCUCUCCUCCUCUCUCUCCUACCCGCCGCAUUUAAGAGCAUUAUUGAGGGGUAAUGCAGUCCUUUUCCAACAAAAGUGUUAAACUUUAACAACCCUUCCCAAACAUGCCACAAGCAACACCACCGGCUGACUGUGCUAGCGGGGAGCACCCUCACCGCCUGCCCGUGGGGACUUCUUCUGCCGGCCAUCGUGUCUUUGUAGGACCGCCGCGUGAGCCUAUGAGCCACCGGUGGCCGUGCGCCCAAGGGCCAUCACCAUGCCACCUGAGGAUGCUGUCUACCCGGUGCCGCGUGCCUCUGCUAGCUGCUUGCACCUGGGCCGCCGCUGGUCGCCUGCACAGCCACGCGUUACAGCCGCCCCCCUGCGCUGGGCCACCCCAUUUCGUGUUGGAAGAACUGCCACAGUCUCGCGCACUGGGGUUUUGCUAGUGACGACCAUAGCCUCCAAGAUCAAAUGAAAAAGUUGGUACUCAAAACAUACAUCCAUUAAUCUAGUCGUGCUAAUCCUUACCACCAAAUAAAAACUAGCAUGUGUUGUGUUUUUGUGACCCUAAACGAUCACAAAUGAAUAACUUAUGGGCGUUGCUAGCCUAUAAGUUAUGGGCGUUUGUGACCCUAGUCGCGCCGGGGUCUUGCUGGUGACAACCAUGGUCUUCGCGAUAAAGUAUUAAGUCUCAUCGAGUUCUACAAUUUUGAUAUAAAAUUUCUAUUCAUCCGAGAUCAAAUGAAAAACAAAUGAAAAAAUCCGAAGUAUUAGGCUUCAUCGAGCUCUACAAUUUUGAUAUAAAAUUUCUAUUCAUCCGAGAUCAAAUGAAAAAAUCCGAGAUCAAAUGAAAAGUUGGAACUCAAAACAUACAUCCAUUAAUCUUGAUAUAAAAUUUCUAUUCAUCCGACAUCAAAUGAAAAAGUUGGUACUCAAAAUAUACAUCCUUUAAUCUAGUCGUGCUAAUCCUUACCACCAAAUAAAAAAACUAGCAUGUGUUGUGUGUUUCUGACCGUAAACGAUCACAAAUGAAUAACUUAUGGGUGUUGCUAGCGUCCCGGACGCUAGCAUCGGACGCAUGAGCAGCCGUCCGAUCGGGUCCGACACCACUUCACGAUCUGUCUUAAAAAAAAGUCCCACCGAAACAUUGUUCCAUGUUGCAUGAAAUACCCCACUAUCCAUCGCCAGGUCUACAGCAAGCACCACCUUCCAAUCUGCUGCUCACCCAAGCUAAAUAGGGGCAUUAAAAUUGCAGAAAUAUGUCACAUAUCCUUGUCAAAUUAAACUAAAUCGCAACAUCCGAAAAUUUCUUACACAAAACCAUGAAACAUAUCGAUUAGAUAGGUGUAACAAGAUGGAAUAUGGUAUCCAACAUAUAGAUUCCGAAAAACAGAUGAAACAUUAUGUAACGAUUGUUGAAACAGUCGAGAAAUAUAGAUGUAACGAUUAAAAUUUAGAAAAGAAGCUUUAUGCAAAUUGCAAAAAGCUGAAAUAAGUGGUUGAAACAUUUCGAAUCACCAAAUGCCACAUUUGAAAUGGCUACAUGAAACAUCACGAAAUCAAUUGCAACAGUUGAAGAUGAAAACAUUCAAAUGCCUUGCCUUUCUCCAGAUUUGACCCUCCAAGCAUGAGUCCAGCCAUUUGCACAUUAGACCCUUGGGAGGAGCUCACCGGAGAACAACAAGACCGUGUUCUCCAACAAUUUUCUGAUCAAAUUGCAACAGACAAAACAAAGCAUUGCAACAUCUGGCAUCACGAGCUACAACAUCAACAAGUUAGGAUCAGGAGAAAGAGGGAAAACACAAGCCUAACAACCCCAAGACAAAACUGAUGUACUCAUCAUACAUCACGGCUUGCCGUGCACAGAGAUGAAGGCCGCCAAGCUCAAUCGAGACAGAGACGACGUGAUAGUGCUCCAGAUCGACGGUCCCCAUCAAUUGUUGCGUACACUGCCAAAAGCAAUGGAAGAAGAAGGGUCGUCCCUGCUCGACCUCCGUAGAUGAGCGCAGAUUGGGGGAAACCGUAUAGAGUGCCGCUGACAGCACAGGCGAGGGGGCUCAGGCUUGAUUCAGGGUGAGGGUAGCGGGUAGCAUGAGGAGACAGUCAGGUUUCAUAGGAGAGAGGCGGAGUAGAGAGCUCUGGUGACUCGGUGAGGAGGGUGCGGCACGGAGAAAGGUGUGUAGCUGAAGGAGCUACAUGGUUGGGGCGAGGCGAGCGUAGAGACUAGAGAGGGAAAAAAAGCAUGGGGAGGAGACGAUAUGUGGUUGAUGGUGCGGGCACGUGGUGAGCGCACCGUAUGAAAAUUUUGCUCGCGUCGGAUGACUGAUGUGAAGCAUUACCCAAUCUUAAUUAUCUCCCAUAAUCCAAAACUCACAAAAACAUCAAAAAUCCGCCGAGAAUAAAUUAAGUAAACCAUGCACACACAGAUAAUAAAAUUGCUAAUAAGGCCAGAGAUAAUACAUGAACAUAUUAGACUGUUCAUGACACAUAUCACGGUGGAUAGUGUCUGUGUCCUUAUUACAAGCAAUGAGAGAUGCUUGUCACCACACACACGCGCACAGAUGCAUGACAUACAUAUAGUUGAGACCAACAGAUGGAUCAACUAGAGGUCACCCCAUAUGGUGAACAAUUUAUUGGAGAUAAACAUUAACAUAACUUGGCCAUAGCUUGAAGCAUAGCAACAUAUGCCUAUGAAUGGCGUUCAUGCUAUCGUUUUAGGCUUGUCCAGCUUCUUUCAUCUUAGCAAGCACUUCCAUUUCUACCAUCUUAGCAGCAACUGUCAAAUUGAGAUAUGGAAAUCCCAUUAGCGCAUGAUUAAUUUUGCAGUGGAAAUAGAGUGCAAGAUAUCUUCAUGAUGUAAAUAACAUGCCUGAAGUUGUGAGAUGGGAAGUGAAGUCAACAAAUUACAUUAACGGAAAUGCAUGGAAGGCCACACAUACGUAUUAGUCCAUAAUACGCUACAAAGCUUGUAUGUACAUAUAGCAAAUUAAAUGCAUUAAUUGAAUAGAGUGAGUUUAGUGAAUUUACCAGAAUCGUCCAGAAAACAUGGGAAACAGCAAGUGUGCUUGCAGACUGUGUCGGAGCCACCCACACGAAUACAAAGCUGACAACAUGCUUGUGCCUCGUGGGAUACGCAGCAGCCGCACUGUGCCGCGGUGGCCGAGUUAACAUUGAGGCUCAAGAUGAACAGGCACAUGAUCACCAUCAAAGUGGUAGUCCUCUUUCCCUCCAUUGCCUCCUGUCGCUGCUACCUUCCUUGGUUACUAGUAAGUUUAUUGGUUUUGUGUUGAGAGGUGAUUCUUGCAUUGAAUGGACGUUGCCGCGGCUGCAAUUUAUAGGCAGCUGCGCUAUGUGAUGAUAUGGACAAGGUGCAAAUGGGUGGUCCUGAUAUGCAGGAGCGGAUCUAGGGCCCAGGCAGUUUAAAUUAAAGUCUCCUCAUAGGCAGUUUGACUAUGAUCAAUUUUACCUGUAUUUCUCAAUAUGUAGAUAAUUCUAUGCCAACAAUUAAAAACUAAUACAUAAUUUGACACGGUGUACCUCGAGAACGUUUUGAAAAUGUACUCUCUCGUUAGGCGUUCACCUCCUUAACAAUAACUGCGACUGUAAAAUAGGUACAUCGACGCUAGCUAAAUAAACCACUAUAAGAUUUAGCAAGAGAUCAUUUUAUACAAUCCUGUAACGAAAGAAUUUGACAAUUGUAGUGUCCAUAUAUUUUGACAAAAAACGUCUAAAUUAUAUAAGGAGGUGGGCCCGAAACAGUUGCAUUAGCAUAUGGUUACCCGUUUGUUGUCUUCCGGUCCUAAAAAAAGGACCAUCUUACUUAAAAAGGUUCUAUUAGGCCAUGCAGCCGGCUCUGUGGCACCAAAAAGAAAUUUUGACACGGUUUACAUCGAGAACGUUUUGAAACUAGACUUUGGUAAGCAGUUCAUCACCUGCUUAACAAUAACGGCGUACAUAGACGCUAUCUAAAUUAACCACUAUAAGAUUUAGCGAGAGAUCUAUUUUUUAUAAUUGCGUAUACCACUUUACGAGAGAGACGUCAAGAGCAUGAUGGUACACUUUGUAUAUAUCUUUGAAUUCCAGCUACGGGACUUUCUUGCCUUCGCCGAAAAAAUCUAUCGGUUUUAUCUUAAGGCCGAACAUCUCCCUCUCGUCAGCGAACUUCUUCAUGUACCAUUUAUGGAAUUUGUAUAUCAAAGCUUCCCUACCAACUCAGGCCUUACUGGAGAUUUGCCUAGCUCAAAGGUCCAUUUCAGUUCAACUAGCGGUCCAGCUGGCAGCUCAACUUGCCCAAGACACUCAGCAAGUCCCAUACCUAUUUCUUCCAUGAAUUUUAUUACUUCUGCUUGUUGAUGCAAGGGCAUUGCUGCUAUCUGUUUAGCGUCGUUUUCUAGUAGAUGCCCGAGGUGGGGGAUAGCACCACUUGAAGACAACUUUCCUUUCCUUUUUUUCCUCUCAUCAACCUUAACUAAUGCCCGUUCGUAGUUCGACAGUAGUGGCACUGACUUCUUGGUUGCUUCUUUCAUCUUUUUUUUAAAAAAAUAAUUCUCUUCGAUCUAUUAGCGGUGGCUCCAUCUCCUUUGCUUUUUUUUCUUCGACCCUUUUCUUGAACCACUCCCUGCAUUCUGCUUGGUUUCGGCCCAGCGUUCCGCUUGAGUCAUUGCCUCUUGGCGUUUCUCAGGAGUCACUUUAGGCUCCUUUAUUUUUUUCUUUCUCUAUCUUGGCUUGGGAGGCAAUGGUCGUGACUUCUUAAGUGGUGCUGCAGUUUCCUUGCUCUAGGCUUCUCUUAGUCCCGAUGACGAUGAUCGGGGAGGAGUGUUGUUGUCCUCGUCGUCGCUCGCACCACCAGGAUGUGGUGGAGAUGGAGACCUUGAUCGAGCAGGAAGCGACGGUCCCUGUGGUGACGACGGUCCUGGAGCAGGUUGUGCUGGAGAUGAUGGUCCUGGAGCAGGCCGUGGUGGAGAUGACGGUCUUGAGCUUUGGGGAGAGGGUCGCUGCUGGGGAUUUGUGGGGAGCAGUCUUGAGCUUUGAGGAGAUGCCUCAAUGCCGGGGAUGAUGAUGUAGCAUUUGUGCCAUAGAAUGAUCCCGUGAAGCGCAUAUCCUAGUGUCCUUUCCCCGUCACCUCCCGGGAGGUCGAGCUCUAGGCCUUCAUAUUGGCUAUCAACGAGCUGCUCUAGGCCGACGCUGGCGUAGCCAGGUGGAAUCUCAAUGCCAUGGCUUGUCUGCCCUGGCAGGAUUGGUAAGGCACUCUCAUACACCACCUGUACAUAUAGCAGAAAUAAAGAAGUUAUUAAACUCCGAUCCCGAGGUGUGGAUGGAUGAUUGAGAAGAUUGCAAAAAUAUCAUGUAUAAGUAUACCUUAAUGGUGAUGUUGUCGACCGAUUUAUGCAGCUCACAUGAGGUGCGUUGCGUGAUGACAUCCAUAGGGAACCGUUGCUCAACCAUGGGUAAUCCUUGCAUUUAUGGAUCGGGGAGCCCUGUGGAAGCACAGCUGCUCCCGAGGUGUUAAGAAGGGCUAGCGACGUUUGGAUCCGACAGUGCUCUAGAUUGGGCUAACUCCGCAACUGCUAGGGCCACUCGACAAUUGAUUUCCUCUUGCAUUCUUACUUCUUGUGAAUGCACUUUGGAUUCUAGCAUGCACCUCAAGGUCUCCUCAACAUGUUCCUUUCUUCGCUUGUGGCUUUGGUACGAAGCGAUGUCACCUUGAAAAGCGAACUUCCACGGAAUGACCCCGUACCCUCGGCAAUGUCUUGGGUGCUCGGGAUUCCCGAGGGCCAAUGUGAGCUCAUGAUUCUCUCGGUCCACCUUCAACCUCCGAGCCUUAGCAUCUUCAAUGUUCUUCAUAAGCCUUUCGGCCUUCUGACGUAUUGUCUCAUUGAAGAUCAAUGUCACAUCCUCUUUGGCUCAGGUUGCCUCCAUGAGCGUAACACCAAUUUUUCGAUUGAUCGGGCCAUUCAAGAGUUGCUGGUAUGAUACUCUGAUCAAUCAGGUUUUGUUCCAUCUUGCACCAUCUGGGAAUUGCUGUGCCCUAACCACCUCACCCUAGACGAUGAUGGUACUCCUUCUUGCCAGCAUUUGCAACGUUGGUCUUGACCUUAUUCGCACCGUCUUCGCUCGUCUUGUGUUCGACAAAUGCCUCCCAGUGGUCCCUCAACUUUUGCCACUCAUCGAAAUCCGGAGUUUAGCCAUUCUUGAUGAAUGUGGCAUCCAGCAUCUUCUUGAAUGUCUGGAAUUGUGUGGCCAUCUUCUUCAGCGUCCACGGUUUCACAUCAUCUUCAUUACAUCCUUCGGGAAAUGUGAAAUGUCUCUUAACAUCUGCCCACAGCAUAUUCUUUUCUGAAUCCGGGAGCGUGUAUGGAUUAGUACUUUUGUCCUUCCAUUCCCUGAUGCUGAUAGGCAGAAGCUAGAGACUAUUUCUUUUUCUAAAAAUACACAUGAGGGAGAAAAUUGGUAACAGCUAAACAGUGCAGAUUGCAUUUCAACACACGUUUUUAUAGCUGAGCACACGUCUGAAUCCCAUUUUUAAGUGUUCGGUCCUACACCCACAUUUUCAUCCCAGGUUGUCGGUUUAGUCAUUUUUUACCUUCCAUGACCUAUAGCACACAUUUUUAUGGUAGAACACGCAUUCAGAGGUCAUUUCCACAUCUUCGGUCCAUCCCCAUAUUUUCAUCCCCGGUGGCCAGUGUGGCUGUUUUCGAACUAACGUGACUUAUAACACACGUUUUCAUAGCCGAACACGUGUCCGAAGGCCAUUUUCAAGUGUCUAGUCUGACACCCACAUUUUUGUCCCCGGUGGCCGGUAUGGCUAUUUUUGUGCUCCCGUCACCUAUAACACACAUUUUCAUGGUCGAACACACGUCCGGAGGCCAUUUUAAGUUGUUCGGUCCAUCCCCACAUUUUUUACCCCGGUGGUCGGUGUGGCCAAUGUUUUCUUGGUCGAACACGCAUCCGGAGGCCAUUUUCACUUGUUCGGUUCGACACUAACAGUUUCAUCCCGGUGGCCGGUGUGGCUAUUUAUCGUUCUCCCAUGACCUAUAACACACAUUUUCAACACUAACACUUUCGGAGGCCAUUUUCAAUUGUUCGGUCUGACACCAAUGUUUUGGUCCCCAGUGGCCGGUGUGGCCGUUUUCAACCUCCCGUGACCUAUAACACACAUUUUCAUAGCUAAACACGCGCCCGGAGGCCAUUUUCAAGUGUUCGGUCUGACACCCACAUUUUCGUCCCCGGUGACCGGUGUAGCUCUUUUUGGCCUUCCAUGACCUAUAGCACACGUUUUCAUGGCCAAACACACGUCUGGAGGCCAUUUUUCACUUGUUUGGUGCAUCCCUAGUUUUUGCUCCAGUGCUAAUGUGGUCGUUUUUAGGCUUCGACCUAUAGCACACAUUUGCAUGGUUGAACACGCGUCCAGACGUCAUUUUCACUUGUUCGGUCCAUCCCCCACGAUUUCAUCCCCGGUGGCCGGUGUGGCCGUUUUUGGGCUCCCAUGACCUAUAACCCACGUUUUCAAGGCCGAACUCGCGUCUGGAGGCCAUUUUCACUUGUUCAGUCCAUCCCACAUGUUCUCGUCCCCGGUGGCCGGUGUGGUCAUUUUCAGGUUCCCGUGACCUAUAAUCCUCGUUUUCAUGGCUGAACACACGUCCGAAGGCCAUUUUCGCUUGUUCAGUCCAUCCCCCAUGUUUUCGUCCCAGGUGGCCAGUGUGGCCGUUUUUGAACUAACGUGACCUAUAACAUACGUUUUCAUAGCCGAACACGUGUCCGAUGUCCAUUUUCAAGUGUUCGGUAUGACACCCAAGUUUUCAUUCCUGAUGGCUGGUGUGGCCAUUUUCGGGCUCCCGUGACCUAUAACACAUAUUUUCAUGGCUGAACAUGCGUCCAAAGGCCAUUUUCAUUUGUUCAGUCCAUCCCCCACGUUUUCAUCACCGGUGGCCGGUGUGGCCAUUUUAGUGAUCCCGUGACCUAUAAAACACGUUUUGAUAGCCGAAGACGUGUUUGCAGGCCAUUUUCAAGUGUUCGGUUUGACACCCACGUUUUCGUCCCCGGUGGCCGGUGUUGCUGUUUUUUGCCUUCCAUGACCUAUACACGUUUUCGUGGCUGAACACGCGUUCGGAGGCUAGUUUCACGUUUUCAUCCCUGACGGCUAGUGUGGCCAUUUUCGGGCUCCCGUGACCUAUAACACACAUUUUCAUGGCCAAACACAAGUCCGGAUGCCAUUUCCAGUUGUUCAGUCCAUCCCCCACAUUUUCAUCCUCGGUGGCCGGUGUGGUAGUUUUUGGCCUCCCGUGACCAACAACACACAUUUUCGUAGCUGAACACAUGUCCGGAGGCUAUUUUCAAGUGUUUGGUCCUACACCCAUCUUUUCAUCCCCGGUGGGUAGUGUAGCCAUUUUUUAUCUUCCGAAACCGAUAGCACACGUUUUCACGAGCAUGGCCUGUGAGGCUUAGCUUCUCGUAACCGUAGGUCAUGGCAGGGUUUGAUCGGUCAGGAGGCUGAAGAGUAAGUUACUUUGGGUAGUCAGUGGAAUGGGAUGCCCUUUCAUUUGGGCGAAGUGUGUGAUCGCACGAAAGUAAAGAGCAGGUGGUACUGCACCCUCGUGGAGCCCCCGAGCGACCCAAGCUAAGAGUGCUCGGGCUGGGGCGCUAUAGGAGCGAGUAUCAAAUGGAAACAACUGGUAAAACCAAGCUAGGGAAAUAAACAAUGUAACUGCUCAAUGUUCCAUGUGUUGGUGAGGAUGUUGCCGUCGUCGUCCUUCAGUCAGUAGGCGCAUGGUCGGAUCACCUCGGUGACUGUGUACAGUCCUUCCCAUGGCGGAGAGAGCUUGUUCUUAUUAUUGGUCGACUAGGUCCUUCGAACCACAAGGUCACCAAUCUCGAGGGUCCUCCCUCGGAUUUUCCUCUCGUGGUACCUACGAAGGGUUUGCUGGUAACGAGCGGAGUGGAUGAUGGCCAUCUCAUGUGGCUCCUCGAGCAGGUCGACUAUGUCCUGCUAAGCUUCUGUAGCUCGGUCUUGGUCGAAGGCCUUUACCCUUAGGGCACCGUAAUCGAGGUCGAACGGUAACACGGCUUUGGCUCCGUACACCAAUAAGAAGGGGGUGAACCCUGUGGAUUGGUUUGGGGUCGUUCUAAGGCUCCAGAUUACCACUGGGAGCUCUGUGACCCAUCACCCGGUGUGCUUUUUUAGCCGGUCGAAAAUGCAAGGCUUGAGCCAUUGGAGGACCAUGCCAUUCGCUUGCUUGACCUGAUCGUUGGUUUGUGGGUGCCCGACCGAGGCCCAGUCGAUCCUAAUGUCGUAUCCAUCAUAGAAAUCCAGGAACUUCUUGCUAGUGAAGUUUGUUUCGUUGUCUGUGAUGAUGCAGUUAGGGACGCUAAACCGAUAGAUGAUGUCAAGGAAGAACUCGACUGCGUCUUGUGACCGGAUGUUGGUGAUGGGCUUCGCCUCAAUCCACUUGGUGAAUUUGUCCACCGCCAUGAGUAGGUGAAUGAUGCCACUCGGGGCCUUUUUAAGGGACCCAACUAUGUCGAGGCCCCAGACCGCGAAUGACCAGAUGAUGGGGAUGGACUAGAGCUCUUGCGUCGGCAGGUGAGUUUUCUGAGCAUAGAACUGGCAGCCUUCACACUUGUGGACCACCUCCUCUACGUCUUGAAAUGUUGUGGGCCAGUAAAAACCUUGGCAAAAGGCUUUCCCGACCAGUGAUCUCAGGGACGCAUGGUGUCCGCAGAUUCUGGCAUGGACAUCAAGAGAAGUUGUUUCCCCUAAUUGGUCGGGAUGCACUUCAUGAGUAUUCCCGAUGGACUUCAUUUGUAACGUUCAUCACCGAUGGCGACAAAUGUCUUGACGCGUCAAGUGAUUCAUCGUGCUUCAAUCCUCUCCAGUGGGAGGACCUCUUCGAGGAUGUAGGCGAGUAACGACGCUCUCCAGUUGGUUGGGUCAUGCACCAUUACGUCAGUGCUUCUAGGUGAGGUCGCCAUAGGGGCAUCAGGGUCGGAGCCCCUGAGCACGCAAUCGGACUGUGACUGGGUUGGGUCCUCUCGGACACGGGCAGAUGGUUCAUGGAGGUCGUUCACGAAGACUCCGUUGGAAGAUGGGCCCCAUCUAGGUGCCAAUUUUGUGAGGAAGUUAGCAACAUCAUUGUCCUUUUGUGGCACAUGAUGUAGCUCGAUCCCUCGGAACUUGUCUUCUAACUUGCAUACAUCUUGACAGUACGCUGCCAUGAGAGGGCUCCUGCAGGAGGACUCCUUCAUGACUUGGUCGACCACUAGCUCCAAGUCGCCGCAGCAUAAAGCCGCAUCUCGCCGAGCUCGAUGGUGAUACGUAGCCUAUUGAUGAGGGCUUCGUACUCCAUGAUGUUGUUCAAGGUUGGAAAAUGGAGACGGAUCGCGUAGCGGAGCCUAUUCCCCUGUGGUGAGAUAAGGACCACUCUAGCCCUCGAGCCAGGUCCCAUGAUCGAACCGUCGAAGUACAUCAUCUAGUACUCGUGGGUGACAUCCAGGGUCAGGAUCUGGACUUCCAUCCACUCGGCGAUGAAGUCGGCCAGGUCCUAAGACUUGAUAGCUAUGCAGGGGACGUACUUGAUGUCAUGGCCCAUGAGCUCAAGCAUGCACUUGGAGAUUCGCCCCAUAGCAUCACGGUUGCAGAUGAUCUCUCCCAGCAGGUACAAGGUGAUGAUCGUGACCUCAUGGUCGGUGAAGUAGUGUCGGAGCUUCCGGGUUGCCAUCAGCAUGACGUACAGAAGGUUCUGGGCUUGGGGUAACGCAUGUUGGCGUCAUGUUGACACCAUGUUUUGACAUACGUCAAACAUGGCGUCAAAAGAAAAUAGAGAUGCCAGCGCAUAGUGGAAGGACAACGGCUAGUGGAAUCGACUGGUAAGGUUGUAGAGGGUUGAGCCGAUAGAGUAAGGCAGAAGCCUAGGCGAUGGGAUCACAGGGGCAUAGCCCAUAGAGUCAGACGAUGCGAGCAGGAGGGUUCUAGCCGAUAGGAAAUGUUGGAGGUUCGGCCGAUGAGGAGCUGGUUUUGGUCGGUAGAAGCCAAGUUCGUUUCUGACUCCUACAUGAGUCAUUUUUAUUUAGAAAGUUUGUUUCUUUAGAGAUAGGUCUUAUGAUUUGUUGUAACCGACUAGGAUUAGAAAUCUUGAUGUAUAGGGUAUAAAUAGGGGCCUUGUAAGGUUUGGAAAAGACACACACAUCAUAAUCAAUACAAAUCUACUAUUUUCGCAAUCUACUUUCAAGUCGACGACUUCGCCAUUGUUUUGUUUUCUUCACGAGUUCUUCCAAGCUGGUUGGGCUGCAUUGCUUCGAUCUCCAGCUAGACUGUAAGUUUCGCGUUUACUGAAUACCUCCUAGGCUUUAACUUUGGGUGCAUUGCUGUCAUUUCGUCUGGAUUUAUUCACAAGUUAUCGAUAUUUACUGGAUCUGCAUGUUUUAUUUGUUAAAUCUUGUUGCUUUAGUUUUUAUCACGGUUAUCCAGCUUAGAACACAUUCCAAUCAGCUUUUUCUUUAUUUCUCAUACUAAUCUACUAUCACCCAGCCGAUUAGAUCUGUUUUAAUUGGUGUUCAUGUAAUGCUAUUUAGGUUGUAUUUUACGCUUCCUUUACAUCUACUACAUCCACAUCGGCUGAUCUAGCCGAUUGUCUUUUCUCGUGUCGGCAGCUCUACGAUACGUCCUGUGGAGCGAUUUAGAAUGCCAGCUGAUUUGCUCUUGUAUUUGACAUUUUACCUGUCCUUUUCAAUCAAUAGGUCAGAUUGACUGGCACACCAUGGAUCGAUAGGGCUACAACCCAAACAGGAGCGAAGCAGAUUCUCCCCGGUUUUGUGUGUUAGUGCGCGGGAGCCGUCUCUCAAUUUUUGCGUCAACACAUCGGUGAGUACUUCACUGAUGAAGUACACCGGUCGCUGGACCUUCAGCGCAUGUCCUAGCUCCUCUCUAUCGACUACAAGGGCAGUACUAACCACGUGGUCGCUUGCCGCGAUGUAGAGGAGAAGGGGUUCUUCCUGCUCGGGAGCGAUGAGGACUAGGGCCGAAGUCAGCAAUGCUUUGAGGCUUUCCAAAGCCCAUUGUGCCUCCUCCAUCCAGACGAAUGCGUCUGCCUUCUUGAGGAGUGUGUAGAGAGGCAUCCGUCGUUCGCCUAGUUGGGAGAUGAACCGGCUCAGGACGGCCAAACAACUAGUGAGCCUCUGUAUGCCCUUGAUGCUGUGUAUGGGGCCCAUGUUGGUGAUGGUCGUGAUUUUUUUGAGGUUGGCUUCAAUGCCGCGCUCGGACAUGAUGUACUUGAGCAGCUUCCCCUUUGGAACCCCGAAAACACAUUUCUCAGGAUUAGUGGGGUUGUGGUGCUGCACUACUCCAGAACAACAACACUGCGGCACGCUUGCUCAAUCAGACGGCAAACCAGCCUGCUCUAGCAUACAACCUCCAUCACCAUCGGCUCCGCAGCCAGCCGUCCAGCGUUAUCAGCAGCAUCCACUAGAAGUCAGCAGGGAGGAUGGUGUUUUGGAUCCUCACAGGGAUGGGUCACCUAUAGUGGUGUACGAUGAGGCAACCAGUGUGUUGCGGCAUGUUGAUUCUUCCCGCCAGUUGACCUAGCCGCAAUAUCUGCAACAUACAUCGGCUAUCCAAUAGCCAAUUGUGGUGCCACAAAUUCAGCAGCAGGUGCCAGUGGGCCAGCCAAUGCUCCAACCUAUGGUCCAGCAGUAGCCGCAACAGGUUGAUUGGGCCGCAAAGAUAGCUGGGGUGAUGCAAGAUCAGUUCGGUCUAAAACCUAAAGUGCAGACCUACACGUACAGAAUGCCGUACCCACCAGCCUAUGACAUGUUGUCGUUCCCUCACCGAUUUCACCAAGUUCUCGGGACAAGAUGAGGCAUCUACGGUGGAGCACGUCAAUAGGUUCAUCAUUCAGUGUGGAGAGUCAGCUGUGCAGGAUGCUCUGAGGGUUCGGCUGUUCUCAUCAUCUCUGUCCGGGUCAGCCUUCCAGUGGUUCACGACGCUUCCACCUAACUCCAUUAUCACCUGGGACAAUCUGGAGAAAUAGUUCCACAAAAACUUUUUUGCUAGGGUUCACGAGAUGAAGCUGACAGAUCUAACUAGUCUCAGGUAGAGGAGUGAUCAAUCGGUGGCCAGUUUCAUCCAACGGUUUAGGGAAGUCAGGAACAAGUGCUACAGUUUGGUCUUGAGCGAUAGCCAACUAGCCAACACGGCUUUUUAGGGGCUUCACAGGAGUUCGAGAGUUUGAGCCAGAUUGUACACCGGUUGUCAAACCAAGACGUACACCCAUUUGAUUAGAGAAAGAAUUUCCAGAAGAAGGUGGCGUACGUGGAGUGUUUGGACUUAGAAGGAGAAGCAGAGGUCAGCUUGGCAGAGUGGGUUAAAGUCCAAAAAGCCGAUCUCUUGCCCGUACGGCAAGAAGGAGCCUGAGAAAUUCGAGUUCAAUAUUUCCAAGGCCAAUAAGAUCUUUGAUUUGUUGCUGCAAGAAGGGAAAAUCAAGCUCUCACCAUACCACACGAUCCCAUUGACUGAAGAACUUAAGAAGAUCAAGUACUGCAAGUGGCACAAUGCCACAUCUCACAACACCAACGAGUGCAAAGUCAUCUGCCAGCAGAUCCAAUUAGCUAUUGAGCAAGGGAGGCUCAAGUUUAAAGCUCCUUCAAAACCAGCAAAGCCGAUGAAGAUCGACCAACAUCCAUUCCCAACAAAUAUGGUAGAAGUCGGAGGCAAAAGCGCACCUCCCACAAAGGUGCUGACAUCAGAACCAGCCAAGAGGAGUGGAGAUGUGGACCCUAGAGUAUAGGUGUCGGCCAACGAUGUCAAGUUGAACAGUCAGUUGCAAGAAGGUUAAGCUCAACAAGGCCUCAAUGGCCGAUAUCCUCCCAAGAGUUUCUCAAUAAGUUAUAGAGAUAGCAAGACCAGGCAAGGCACCGGGAAGAGAUGACACAUCACCAUGAAAACCACUGGAGAUGCCCAUUCUUCAUAUACUGCUAGGAGGAGCGGAUCAAGAUACCAUCGAUUGACAACUACCCCGAAUGCAAUGGGUCAUACCAAGGCAGCCGAUUGUCCAAAAGACCGUGCUUUGAUGAUAGGAAUCAAAAGCCGAUCAAUAGGGAUAGACCUUACCAUGAUGACAGGUGCAUCCCAAUGCGUGAUUGACUGGGGGGGCAGGAUCAGUAUACAUGAUUGGCUGGAGGGCAGGCUAAAUGUUCCCAACAGACUAGAGGAAAGAGCCAAUGCAAGAGUCCUCGAUGAAGAGCCUUUGUGUCGCGAACCAGAGCGGCGGCGUGCAUCAUGAGACAAAGCUAUAGAAUAGCCUAGAUGGUGCCCAGCGGGUUUGACUAAGUCCCAGAAGAGACGGGUUCAAUGCAUGCGACAAUGGGAGUAUCAAGAAGAGGAACAAAGGUGUGCUUCAGAAAGGAAAGGGGUCAAAUCCUAGGUGUGGCACAUCAAAGACAAAGCCGAUGACGAAGAUAACAAUCCCAAAUCAGCUGUUGAUGUCAACAUGGUUUUCGUAUUACCGAUGGAAUUCAUGGCUCCAACCAAUCACAAGGCAACAGAAGCAGAACAGGGGAUGGCACAAUUAACCUUGGAGCUGAUGUCAGCCACCUUUGAGAAACCCAAAGAUGAAAAACGUCGGCACCUGAAAGCCCUCUUCCUCAAGGGGCAAAUCGACGGGAGGCUGAUUACCAAGCUUCUGGUGGACAGUGGUGCAGCCGUGAACAUCAUGUCGUAUGCCAUGUUCCGCAAGCUCGGCAAAGGCGAAGAAGACUUGAUCAAAACAGACAUGAUGCUGAAGGACUUCAAAGGAAACAUCUCUCCGGCCCAGGGGGCACUCUGCGUCGACCUCACCAUCGGCAGUAAGACCCUAGCUACUACUUUCUUUGUUAUUAAUGGUAAAGGGUCCUACAAUAUGCUUCUGGGUCAAGAUUGUAUUCACGCCAACUACUACAUCCCGUCUACAAUGCAUCAAUGUCUCAUCCAAUGGGUCGGCGACUCAGUUGAAGUGGUCACCGCUGAUUCUUCUUUCAGCGUCGUUGCAGCCGAUGCACAAUAGUAGAAUUGCAAAUAAGUCAGCUGCAUAUCUGGCAGAGUCUAGGAUACAGAUUUCUUGAAGAUGUCCAAUUUUGGACUACAGCGAUCCAAGUAGUCGGCUCUGAAGAAUUGUCCUGAUGGAUGAGUUCACCCAAGAAGAUGGGAAGCUGGAGCAUGAGUUUAUGUCAGUCGACGAGUUAGAGAUGGUAGAGCUUGAAGAUGGGAGCAAGCCAAAGCAGACAUAUAUUAGUGCUAAGUUAGAUCCUGAGUAUAAGCAUGAACUAAUUAAGUUGUUAAAAGAAUUCAAAGAUUGUUUUGCUUGGGAGUAUCAUGAAAUGCCUGGUUUAGAUCAAUCUAUUGUCGAACAUCAGUUGCUAAUAAAAUCAGGAUAUCGGCCGUAUCAGCAACCUGUGUGACGUUGUAAUCCGAAGAUUUUACUUGAUAUUAAGGCUAGGAUCACAAGAUUAAUUGAUGUGGGGUUUAUUCGGCAAUGUCGGUAUGCUGAGUGGAUUUUUAAUGUGGUUCCCGUAUACAAGAAGAAUGGAAAACUGCACAUUUGUAUUGAUUUCAGGAACCUCAAUCAAGCCACACCAAUGGAUGGUUGUCUGAUGCCGACAGCUGAUGUGUUGAUAGAUGCUACUUUAGGAUACAAAGUCAUUAGUUUCAUGAAUGGUAACGUUGGAUAUAACCAAGUAUUGAUGGAGAAAGAAGAUAUUUCCAAGACGGCUUUCGGGUGUCCUGGACACAACGGUUUAUUUGAAUGGGUGGUCAUGACCUUCGGAUUGAAAAAUGCUAGGGCUACAUAUCAGCGAGCCAUGAAUUACAUUUUCCAUAAACUUAUCGGCAUCCUAGUGGAAAUUUAUAUCGAUGAUGUCGUAGUCAAAUCGAAAGGGUAUCGAGAACACUUAGCCGAUUUGCGUGAAGUCCUGGAAUGCACAAGGAAAGAUGGGUUGAAAAUGAAUCCGAAUAAAUGUGCUUUUGGCGUGUCGGCUCGAAAGUUCUUGGGGUUCAUGGUUCACGAGUGAGGCAUUGAAAUUAAUCAGAGGAUCAUUGGUUCUAUUAACAAAGUUGUGGCUCCGUAAAAUAAGACUGAGUUGCAGUCAUUAAUCGAUAAAAUUAAUUUCAUCCAAAGAUUCAUAUCGAACCUGUCUGGAAGGAUUCAAUCUUUCAGCCUGUUGCUUAAACCAAAAGUCGAUCAAGAGUUCGUUUGGGGGUAGAGCAGCAAAAUGCAUUGGAUGAUAUCAAACAAUACCUGGUGUCACCUCCUAUAUUGGUUCCUCCACAAGCUAACAAGUCGUUCAGGUUAUACCUCUCAGCCUAUGAGUGUGCCAUUGGGUCGGCUCUUGUCCAAGAACUUGAAGGGAAGGAACGAGUAAUUUAUUAUGUGAGCAGAAGACUCUUGGAUGCAGAGACCAGGUAUUCCCCAGUUGAGAGGUUGUGUCUAUGCCUAUAUUUCUCCUGCACUAAGCUUAGACACUAUUUAUUAUCCGCCGAGUGCGUUGUGGUAUGCAAGGAUGAUGUGGUCAAAUACAUGUUGCCAUUGCCAAUUCUAAAUGGAAGGAUUGGGAAGUGGAUUUUGACUCUGUCGGAGUUUGACCUAAAGUACGAAUCAACUAAAGCUGUCAAAAAGGGCAAGUCAUGGCCGAUUUUGUUACUCAUCAUUGUAGGCCAGAGGUUGCUAUUGUUGAGGUAGCCCAAUGGACUUUAUUCUUUGAUGGAUCUUCAUGUGGGAUUGGAUCAGGAAUCGGCAUAAUCCUUAUAUCACCUUGGGAGGCGAACUACAAGUUCUCACUGCCAGUUGAGGCUUCUGCUACCAACAACCAGGCCGAGUAUCGAGCCAUUUUGAAGGGGAUCCAAUUGCUGAGAGAAAUCAAAGCUGAUGCUGUUGAGAUUUUUGGGGAUUCUAUGCUUAUCAUCAACCAGCUGACUGGAGGAUGUGAAUGCAGAGAUGAUAUUUUAAGAAUUUACUAUGAACAGUGCCUUCAGUUACUCAAAGAAUUCAAGAGUGUGGUUAUUGAGCAUAUUCCCAGAGAUUACGAUGAGGAUGCUAACAAGCUCGCCGCAUGCUUCUGGUUAUCGACCGAUCUGUGGUGUUAUGGCCUUAGAGUUAAUGGCCGAUGAUUGGAGGAAAGAAAUAGUAGAUUACUUAAAAGAUCCCUCCAAGAAAGUCGAUAGGCGAGUUCGAUUUCAGGCUUUGCAAUAUGUGUUGCUUGAAGAUGACCUUUAUUAUCUGAUGAUUGAUGGGGUCUUGCUUAAAUACCUCAGGGUUGAAGAAGCCAAGAAACUGAUGGGCGAAAUUCAUGAAGGGGUUUGCGGAGCUCAUCAAUCGGCUUUCAAGAUGAAGUGGAUGAUUAGAAACAAGGGGUAUUAUUGGCCGACUAUACUUGAAGACUGCUUUAAAUACUAUAAAAGUUGUCAAGAUUGUCAGAAGUUUGGCAAUGUGCAAAGAGCCCCGGCAUCGGCUAUGAAUCCUAUAAUAGAGUUGUGGCCAUUUAGGGGGUAUCGAUUUGAUCGGCCAGAUUUAUCCACCUUCAAGCAAGGGUCAUAAGUUCAUACUAGUAGCAACGAAUUAUUUCACUAAGUGGGUUGAAGCAAUUCCCUUGAAAAAUGCAACAUCGGCAAGCAUGGUUGAUUUUGUCAAAGAACACAUCAUCUAUCAAUUUGGUAUCCCUCAAACUAUCACUACCGAUCAAGGGACAAUGUUCACUUCGAGAGAGUUUGAGGAAUUCGCUACUAGUAUGGGAAUUAGGUUGUUGAAUUCUUCUUUGUAUUAUGCCCAGGAAAAUGGUCAAGCUGAAUCAUCCAACAAGGGGAUCAUUAAAUUAAUUAAGAGGAAGAUCGAAGAGCAGCCAAGGCGCUGGCACACUACGUUGAGCGAAUCCUUAUGGGCGUAUCAAAUGGCUUGUCACGGAGCCACAAAAGUAUCCCCUUAUCAAUUGGUUUAUGAACAUGAAGCAGUUCUACCUUGGGAGUUAAAGACUGGGUCUAGGCGUGCAUCGUUGCAAGACCAGUUAACAGCCGAAGAAUACUCUACUUUGAUGAAAGGGGAUUUGGAAGACCUAGCGGGUCAUCGACUAAGGUCUUUGAUCAGCAUCGAAGAAAAUAAGAAGAGGGUGGCUAGAUGGUAUGACAAAAAGGUCAAGGUCAAGGAGUAUUCCCAAGGAGAUUUAGUCUGGAAGCCGAUAUUGCCGAUUGUGUCUAAAGAUCCCAAAUUUGGGAAAUGGUCGCCUACAUGGGAGGGACCGUAUCGGAUAAACCGGUGUGCUCCUGGUAAUGAGUAUAUUUUGGAGACACUUGAAGGAGAGGAGUUCACAAGGGCUCUAAAUGGAAAAUACUUUAAGAAGUACUACCCGAGUAUAUGGGUAGAUGCAUAGCCGAUGGUGUGAUGCCUCGGACUAACAUAGACGAUAUUGAGGGUAUCGCCUUUAGUCUAAAAAGAAAAGAAGGAAAAAGGCAGACACAUGGAUAGCCGAUAAAAUCAGCUGUGAUAUGGCCGAUGUGAUACAAGUCACCCUUAGAACAAAUAAUACUUGCAACACUUCGGACACAACAGGUUAUUACAUCAAAGUCAUCAUUAUAUCAUGGCCAAGACAUUCCAUUACAGGCAAAUCUGGAUGGCUCCCUAUUGAUAUCGGCAAAUACUUACUCCCUUUGGCGAGAUGUGCCUAGGAGACGCCCCAGUUGAGCCUUAGUAGUGCCGAUUUCCCUGUUGACCUGGCCCAAUUCCAGUAGAAGUUGAAUUUUCCUAGCCUCCAAACUGGCCAACUUGUCUUCGAGCAAUACACGGGGGGGGGGGGGGGGGGGGGGGGGAGAGAGGUUGAUGGCUUCGAAGGAUUGGCUGCUGCAUUUGCUGGUUUGAGCCUGCAGCUUUGAUUGAGGACAAGAUCGAUUUGAUGUCCAUAGGUAGAUGGUCUCUGAUUUGAUCACGAUGAGCUUGGAUCAAAGCUUUGUCCACCUAGGUGAGCGGCUCAUUGGAAUGAAGGAUCUGGAUGACCUAUUCAAGCUGUUCGUCCACUUGAUUUGGCUGGGAAAGAGAACAAAGAGUCAAGGUUUGGUUCAUGAUAACCAAUUCGGAAUAGAGAAAACAUAGCAAUACCUGGUUGACUGAAGAAGAGGAAGCCAUCUUGGUCGCGUGAAUUCAAUCUAGUUCGAAAACUCGCAGUGUGUGCGGUCUUGAAGGUGACCUCAAGGAAGGAGUAGGGGUCUGUAUUUAUAAGACGAAUAGACGUGUGAAAUGUGAACAAUGGUCGGUCAAAAGGGGCUUUAAAUGGGACUAGCCAUUGGCGAGUCAGAAAGAGCUGUGGAGAAACGGUCAAAUUACAUUCAAGAUGGAUAUUGAGCAUUGACAUCACGAGAGGAAUGUACCAAGUACCAGAAUACAUAAAAGCUAAUAACGUUCGUUACAAUUAUGCUAGAAGAGUUUGAAUGGCAUUUAUCGCACGCAGGCGAAUCUGAUUGGCAGCCUUUAUCUCCCUACGGUCGUCAUCGGCUGAGCCGGGUAUGUCAGUUAUGCUCCGAUGUAGCUGAAUAGCUUGAUGCGCAUGUGCUUGCUUUUCCUGCUCUAAUUGCUUGAGGACUUCUAGAAGUUGGGCGAGCUUGGUUUCUUCGACGAUGAUGGCAUCGCCGAUGCUUUUCAAUUCCUUCAUCAGUUUUUACCUCCUUGCUUUGAGCCAAUCAAUUUCACCAACAAUAUUGGGGCGAGAAUCCCUAAGAAAGCCGAUCUUGGGAUGGAUUUCAUCGGCCUAAAGCUUAUGGAAUUCCUUGUCCUUAUGCAAUUGUUCCUGUUUGGCGCGAUCGGCUGUGCGGCGUAGAGCCCUUAACAUCGGGACUUGGUGACUCCCUAUGUAGGCUGCGGGGAGGAUGGCUUCUUCUUUGUCUUCUAGGAUCUGGCCUUUGAGGUUGCGGAGGAUGUCGUGCAUCGGUUGUGCAUCUUUGACUAGUUGGCUGAUGCCUUGCUGAAGGAAGUCGAGUAUAUCUUGAAGUUUGGCCUUUAGGACAUCAGGAAUAGAUUCUGGAACCAGUGGGUGUGACAAAACUUCUUCUUCUUCGUGGAUUUCCCCUACCUGAAAUGAGAAGAGGCUGCUGUCUGGAGUGUCCUGAGCCUGCAAGGAUCAAUAAGGUAUAAGCUGAUGAAGCUAGUUGAUUGGAAUCAAUUAAUGUGCAAAAGAGUGUUCACCAUCUUCCAUUGGGUUUCUCUGGUUUGUGUUGGUGAUUCCACUAGGGACUCUUGUUGAACUGGUUCUGCGGAGGGUGGCAUGUUCUUGGAAGGUACAUUGACUGCUAGUGUUUCAAGAAUAGCGGCCGACACUUCUGGGAUAGUCUGUAUAGAAAACCGAACGAUUCUUAGCAACGGAGGUUGAGAAGGGUUGGAAUAGAGUAUGCAUUUUACCUCAAGUGUUGGAGUGAUGGCCGAUGCAGUCUCCUGUGUAUCUUUAGCCUGUGGAUCAGCCGAUGAAGGAGGCGGAGGCAUAGCCGAUUCUAGGAUGGGCUCUUCUGGUGCCGAUUGUGCGGAAGGCUAAAAGAAACAAGAGUCAGUACUAGCAAAGUAUCUAGAAAAAAUUAAAUAAGUGAGAUUACCUGCAUAGCCUCUAUCAAAAGUGAUGUAGCUACUGACGCUACUUCCGCUAGAACAGCCGUUUGGGGUGCCACCGCUGCCGUCGGAUCAGUCUCCUGGGCUGACGCUGCUGUCGGCAGGACGGAUGCCUAUGCUGAUUUGGAGCCUUUUUGAGGGUGCUUCUUACGGGUAGCCUUCUCAAGAAUAGAGACUUUGCGCUUUUGGCCUACGGCUAUGUCCAUUAAAGAUGGCGCAUCGUAGCCAAUGAGGGGGUCAGCCAAUGGAGGGACGUAAGCAAUUGGCUUGUUGCUCUAGCUAACUCUUGAAGGUGUAAAGUGAACACCCUGUAAAGGGCAAAAGUGUUAGUGGGAAGAAAAUAUCUGUAAUGAAAGGAGAUUCAGCGGAAUCAAUGGUGAUUACCCCUCCAUCAGGAUCAUUGAAGUCUAGGUCGAACUUCCUACAAUAAAUUCUUGUUGCCACAUAGAAAAGAUGAUUCUUCC
rnacentral:lncRNA from 1 species